rnacentral:lncRNA from 1 species
AUCAUCAUGCAGCAACAAGAACAAGAACAAGAACAACAACAACAACAACAACAACAACAACAGCAAGGCAUGCGUAUCUUUUUUCCACUAUCUCGACAACAACAUGUGGGUCAAGGUACUCUCGUCCAAGGCCAGGGCAUCAUCCAACCUCAACAACCAGCUCAAUUGGAGGCGAUCAGGUCAUUGGUGUUGCAAACUCUUCCAACCAUCUGCAAUGUGUAUGUCCCACCUGAGUGCUCCAACAUCAGGGCACCAUUUGCCAGCAUAGUCGCGGGGAUUGGUGGCCAAUGAAAAAAGCAAGAGCUAUACUAAUAGAUAGAUGGAUCCUCGUUGCUUAGCAGAUGCACCAAUCGAUGUAACGAUGACAAAUAAAGUGGCACGUACCAUCAUGUGUGACCCCGACCAGUGCUAGUUCAAGCUUGGGAAUAAAAGACAAACAAAGUUCUUGUUUGCCAGCAUUGAUUGUCAUUGUUCCAUUCACUGUGUAUUUAGUUGUUCAUCCCUAACCGCAGUUCUAGGCUUACACAUCAAUGGCUAUUUGCUCGUGCCGGCAGGUUCCUAUGUAAUCUACCGACUAAUGGUCGGCCUAUUGACCCAGUUUAUAGGCCGAUUGAUAUAUUAAUUGCUGCUCCCAAACUGACCGACCAGCUAUUAGUUACCAUUUUGCUGAACAUUGCACACAAUAAUAACUCAACAUAUUUUAAUGUCUAGAAGUAAAAGGGCCAUUUUAGCAGCAAAACAAGCGCCUGAUUAGGAACCAUCCAGCACUUUAAAUGUUCACCUAGAUAUUUCUACGUUGAUGCAAUUUUGAGAUUGGUGGCACCGAAACAUUCCUCAAAGCAAUUCUUUAUGGGACUCCAAAGAGGUGAAAAUAAAGUAAAGUUGCCACAUGGUAAAAUAUAAAUCAUGCGGCGAGCAAGAGCAAAUAUUGAGUCAUGAUAGCAAGCGCCAAACAUGCCAUUAAACUCUUCAUAUGGUUCCGUGCAGAGAAGGGGGAAAAUUGUUGGGGAACGUAGUCAUUUCAAAAAAAAUCCUACGCACACGCAAGAUCAUGGUGAUGCAUAGCAAUGAGAGGGGAGAGCAUCGUCCACCUACCCUCGUAGACCGUAAGCGGAAGCGUUAUGACAACGCGGUUGAUGUAGUCGUACAUCUAUAUGAUCGACCGAUCCUAGUACCGAACGUACGGCACCUCCGCAAUCUGCACACGUUCAGCUCGGUGACGUCCCAUGAACUCACGAUCGAGUAGAUCUUCAAGGGAGAGUUCCGUCAGCACGACGGCGUGAUGACGGUGUUGAUGAAGCUACCGACGCAGGGCUUCGCUUAUGCACUACUAUGAUAUGACCGAGGUGGAUUAUGGUGGAGGGGGCACCGCACACGGCUAAAGAUCAAUGAUCAACUUGUGUGUCUUGGGGUGCCCCCUGCCCCCGUAUAUAAAGGAGAAAGGGGGGAGGCGGCCGGCCAAGGAGGAGGGCGCGCCAAGGGGGGAGUCCUACUUAGGACUCCUCUUUCCUAUUAGGAGUAGGAGAAGGGGGAAAGGAAGGAGAGGAGGAGAAGGAAGGACGGGGCACCGCCCCUUCCCCUAGUCCAAUUCAGACUAGGCUUGGGGGGGGGGGCGGCCCAGCCCUAGCCAGCCCCUCUCUCUCCCUCUCUCUCCCUGAAGCCCAUUAACGCCCAUAAGAUCCCCGGGGGGUUCCGGUAACCUCUCGGUACUGUGGUAUUUAUCCGGUGUCCGAAUAUAACCUUCCAAUAUAUCAAUCUUUAUGUCUCGACCAUUUUAAGACUCCUCGUCAUGUCCGUGAUCAUAUCUGGGACUCCGAACUACCUUCGGUACAUCAAAACACAUAAACUCAUAAUACCGAUCGUCACCGAACGUUAAGCGUGCGGACCCUAUGGGUCCGAGAACUAUGUAGACAUGACCGAGACACGUCUCCGGGUUUAACCAAUAGCGGAACCUGGAUGCUCAUAUUGGCUCCUACAUAUGUUGGGGAACGUUGCAUAAAAUAAACUUUUUCCUAUGUUCACCAAGAUCAAUCUAUGAGUUCAUCUAGCAACGAGAGAGGGGAGUGCAUCUACAUACCCUUGUAGAUCACGAGCGGAAGCGUUCAAGAGAACGGGGUUGAGGGAGUCGUACUCGUCGUGAUCCAAAUCACCGGAGAUCCUAGCGCCGAACGAAUGGCACCUCCGCGUUCAACACACGUACGGUUAGCGUGACGUCUCCUCCUUCUUGAUCCAGCAAGGGGGAAGGAGAGGUUGAUGAAGAUCCAGCAGCACGACGACGCGGUGGAGGAUGCAGCAGAGUUCCGGCAGGGCUUCGCCAAGCGACUACGGGAGGAGGAGGUGUAGCAAGGGGGGAGGGAGGCGCCAAGACUUCAGGGUGCAGCUGCCCUCCCCUCCCCCUCCUUUAUAUAGGCCCCCUGGAGGGUGGCGCCGGCCCUGGAGAUGGGAUCUCCCAAGGGGGCGGCGGCUAGGGGGGUGGAGUGCCCCCCAAGGCAAGUGGAGGCGCCCCCCCCCCCCACCCUAGGGUUUCCAACCCUAGGCGCAGGGGGGCCCAAGGGGGUCGCACCAGCCCACCAGGGGCUGGUCCCCUCCCCACUUCAGCCCACGGGGCCCUCCGGGAUAGGUGGCCCCACCCGGUGGACCCCCGGGACCCUUCCGGUGGUCCCGGUACAAUACCGGUGACCCCCGAAACUCUCCCGAUCACCGAAACUGCACUUCCUAUAUAUAAUUCUUUAUCUUCGGACCAUUCCGGAACUCCUCGUGACGUCCGGGAUCUCAUCCGGGACUCCGAACAACUUUCGGUUUGCUGCAUACUCAUAUCUCUACAACCCUAGUGUCACCGAACCUUAAGUGUGUAGACCCUACGGGUUCGGGAGACACAUAGACAUGACCUAGAUGGCUCUCCGGUCAAUAACCAACAGCGGGAUCUGGAUACCCAUGUUGGCUCCCACAUGCUCCUCGAUGAUCUCAUCGGAUGAACCAUGAUGUUGAGGAUUCAAGCAACCCCGUAUUCAAUUCCCUUUGUCAAUCGGUAUUUUACUUGCCUGAGAUUCGAUCAUCGGUAUCCCAAUACCUCGUUCAAUCUCGUUACCGGCAAGUCACUUUACUCGUACCGUAAUGCAUGAUCCUGUGACCAGACACUUGGUCACUUUGAGCUCAUUAUGAUGAUGCACUACCGAGUGGGCCCAGAGAUACCUCUCCGUCAUACGGAGUGACAAAUCCCAGUCUCGAUCCGUGUCAACCCAACAGACACUUUCAGAGAUACCUGUAGUGCACCUUUAUAGUCACCCAGUUACGUUGUGACGUUUGGUACACCCAAAGCACUCCUACGGUAUCCGGGAGUUACACGAUCUCAUGGUCUAAGGAGAAGAUACUUGACAUUGGAAAAGCUCUAGCAAACGAACUACACGAUCUUGUGCUAUGCUUAUGAUUGGGUCUUGUCCAUCACAUCAUUCUCCUAAUGAUGUGAUCCCGUUAUCAAUGACAUCUAAUGUCCAUAGUCAGGAAACCAUGACUAUCUAUUGAUCAACGAGCUAGUCAACUAGAUGCUCACUAGGGACAUAUUAUGGUCUAUGUAUUCACACGUGUAUUACGAUUUCCGGAUAAUACAAUUAUAGCAUGAAUAAAGACAAUUAUCAUGAACAAGGAAAUAUAAUAAUGAUCCUUUUAUUAUUGCCUCUAGGGCAUAUUUCCAAAAGUCUCCCACUUGCACUAGAGUCAAUAAUCUACUUACAUUGUGAUGAAUCGAACACCCAUAGAGUUCUGGUGUUCAUCAUGUUUUGCUUGCGGAAGAGGUUUAGUCAACGGAUCUGCGACAUUCAGAUCCAUAUGUACUUUGCAAAUAUCUAUGUCUCCAUCUUGAACAGUUUCACGGAUGGAGUUGAAACGAUGCUUGACGUGCCUGGUCUUCUUGUGAAACCUGGGCUCCUUGGCAAGGGCAAUAGCUCCAGUGUUGUCACAGAAGAGAGUGAUUGGCCCCGACGCAUUGGGUAUGACUCCUAGGUCGGUGAUGAACUCCUUCAUCCAUAUUGAUUCAUGCGCUGCCUCCGAGGCUGCCAUGUACUCCGCUUCACAUGUAGAUCCCGCCACGACGCUCUGCUUGCAACUGCACCAGCUUACUGCUCCACGAUUCACCAUAUACACGUAUCCGGUUUGUGACUUAGAGUCAUCCACAUCUGUGUCGAAGCUAGCAUCGACGUAACCCUUUAUGACGAGCUCUUCGUCACCUCCAUAAACAAGAAACAUGUCCUUUAUCCUUUUCAGGUACUUCAGGAUAUUCUUGACCGCUAUCCAGUGUUCCUUGCCGGGAUUACUUUGGUACCUUCCUACCAAACUUACGGCAAGGUUUACAUCAGGUCUGGUGCACAGCAUGGCAUACAUAAUAGAUCCUAUGGCUGAGGCAUAGGGGAUGACACUCAUCUCUUCUUUAUCUUCUGCCGUGGUCGGGCAUUGAGCCGAGCUCAACUUCACACCUUGCAAUACAGGCAAGAACCCUUUCUUGGACUGAUCCAUUUUGAACUUCUUCAAUAUCUUAUCAAGGUAUGUGCUUUGUGAAAGACCUAUGAGGCGUCUCGAUCUACCCCUAUAGAUCUUGAUGCCUAAUAUGUAAGCAGCUUCUCCAAGGUCCUUCUUUGAAAAACACUUAUUCAAGUAGGCCUUAAUGCUGUCCAAAAGUUCUAUAUCAUUUCCCAUCAAAAGUAUGUCAUCUACAUAUAAUAUGAGAAAUGCUACAAAGCUCCCACUCACUUCCUUGUAAACGCAGGCUUCUCCAUAAGUCUGCAUAAACCCAAACGCUUUGAUCAUCUCAUCAAAGCGAAUGUUCCAACUCCGAGAUGCUUGCACCAGCCCAUAAAUGGAUCGCUGGAGCUUUCAUACCUUGUUAGCAUUCUUAGGAUCGACAAAACCCUCCGGCUGCAUCAUAUACAGUUCUUCCUUAAGAUGUCCGUUAAGGAAUGCCGUUUUGACGUCCAUCUUCCAUAUCUCAUAAUCAUAGUAUGCGGCAAUUGCUAACAUGAUUCGGACGGACUUCAGCUUCGCUACGGGAGAGAAAGUCUCAUCAUAGUCAACCCCUUGAACUUGUCGAUAACCCUUAGCGACAAGUCAAGCUUUAUAGAUGGUAACAUUACCAUCCGCGUCUGUCUUCUUCUUAAAGAUCCAUUUGUUUUCUAUCGCUCACCGAUCAUCGGGCAAGUCUGUCAAAGUCCAUACUUUGUUUUCAUCCAUGGAUUCUAUCUCCGAUUGCAUGGCUUCAAGCCAUUUGUUGGAAUCUGGGCCUGCCAUCGCUUCUUCAUAGUUCGAAGGUUCACCGUUGUCUAACAACAUGAUUUCCAGGACAGGGUUGCCAUACCACUUUGGUGUGGAACAUGUCCUUGUGGACCUAUGAAGUUCAGUAGCAACUUGAUCCGAAGUACUUUGAUCAUCAUCAUUAAUUUCCUCUCCAGUCGGUGUAGGCACCACAGCAACAUUUUCCUGAGCUGCACUACUUUCCGGUUCAAGAGGUAGUACUUCAUCGAGUUCUACUUUCCUCCCACUUACUCCUUUCGAGAGAAACUCUUUUUCCAGAAAGGAUCCGUUCUUGGCAACAAAGAUCUUGCCCUCGGAUCUUAAGUAGAAGGUAUACCCAAUGGUUUCCUUAGGGUAUCCUAUGAAGACGCAUUUUUCCGACUUGGGUUCGAGCUUUUCAGGUUGAAGUUUCUUGACAUAAGCAUCGCAUCCCCAAACUUUUAGAAACGACAGCUUAGGUUUCUUCCCAAACCAUAAUUCAUACGGUGUCGUCUCAACGGAUUAAGACGGAGCCCUGUUUAAAGUGAAUGUAGCUGUCUCUAGAGCGUAUCCCCAAAAUGAUAACAGUAAAUCGGUAAGAGACAUCAUAGAUCGCACCAUAUCCAAUAGAGUGCGAUUACGAUGUUCGGACACACCGUUACGCUGAGGUGUUCCAGGCGGCGUGAGUUGUGGAAUGAUUCCACAUUUCCUUAAGUGCGUACCAAAUUCGUGACUUAAAUAUUCUCCUCCACGAUCUGAUCGUAGGAACUUUAUCUUUCGGUCACGUUGAUUCUCUACCUCAUUCUGAAAUUCCUUAAACUUUUCAAAGGUCUCAGACUUGUGUUUCAUCAAGUAGACAUACCCAUAUCUACUCAAGUCAUCAGUGAGAGUGAAAACAUAAUGAUAUCCUCCGCGAGCCUCAACGCUCAUUGGACCACACACAUCAGUAUGUAUGAUUUCCAAUAAGUUGGUUGCUCGCUCCAUUGUUCUGGAGAACAGAGUCUUGGUCAUUUUGCCCAUGAGGCAUGGUUCGCAUGUGUCAAAUGAUUCAUAAUCGAGAGACUCUAAAAGUCCAUCAUCAUGGAGCUUCUUCAUGCGCUUGACACCAAUGUGACCAAGGUGGCAGUGCCACACGUAUGUGGGACUAUCGUUACCAACUUUACAUCUUUUGGUAUUCACACUAUGAAUAUGUGUAACAUUACGUUCGAGAUUCAUUAAGAAUAAACCAUUGACCAUCGGGGCAUGACCAUAAAAUAUAUCUCUCAUAUAAAUAGAACAACCAUUAUUCUCGGAUUUAAAUGAGUAGCCAUCUCGUAUUAAACGAGAUCCAGAUACAAUGUUCAUGCUCAAACUUGGCACUAAAUAACAAUUAUUGAGGUUUAAAACUAAUCACGUGGGUAAAUGUAGAGGCAGCGUGCCGACGGCGAUCACAUCGACCUUGGAACCAUUCCCGACGCGCAUCGUCACCUCGUCCUUCGCCAGUCUCCGCUUAUUCCACAGCUCCUACUAUGAGUUACAAAUAUGAGCAAUGGCACCGGUAUCAAAUACCCAGGAGUUACUAUGAGUACUGGUAAGGUACACAUCAAUUACAUGUAUAUCACAUAUACCUUUAGUGUUUUCGGCCUUCUUGUCCGCUAAGUAUUUGGGGCAGUUCCGCUUCCAGUGACCCUUCCCUUUGCAAUAAAAGCACUCAGUCUCAGGCUUGGGUCCAUUCUUUGACUUCUUCCCGGCAACUGGCCUACCGGGUGCGGCAACAUCCUUGUCGUCCUUCUUGAAGUUCUUCUUACCCUUCCCUUCUUGAACUUGGUGGUUUUAUUGACCAUCAACACUUGAUGUUCUUUCUUGAUUUCUACUUCUGUUGACUUUAGCAUUGAAAAUACUUCAGGAAUAGUUUUCACCAUCCCCUGCAUAUUGUAGUUCAUCACAAAGCUCUUGUAGCUUGGUGGGAGCGACUGAAGGAUUCUGUCAGUGACCGCCUUGUCCGGGAGGUUGAUGUCCAGCUGGGACAGGCAGUUGUGCAACCCAGACAUUUUGAGUAUGUGCUCACUGACAGAACUAUUUUCCUCCAUCUUACAACUAUAGAACAUGUCGGAGACUUCAUAUCUUUCGACCCGGGCAUGAGCUUGGAAAACCAGUUUCAGCUCCUUGAACAUCUCAUAUGCUCCGUGUUGGUCAAAAUGCUUUUGGAUCCUCGGUUCUAAGCUGUAAAGCAUGCCGCACUGAACGAGGGAGUAAUCAUCAGCACGUGACUGCCAAGCGUUCAUAAUGUCUUGGUUCUCUGGGAUGGGUGCAUCACCUAGUGGUCCUUCUAGGACAUAUGCUUUCUUAGCAGCUAUGAGGAUGAUCCUCAGGUUCUGGACCUAGUCCGUAUAGUUGCUUCCAUCAUCUUUCAGCUUGCUUUCUCUAGGAACGCGUUGAAGUUCAUGUUGACAUGAGCGUUGGCCAUUUGAUCUACAAGACAUUUUUGCAAAGAUUUUAGACUAAGUUCAUGAUAAUUAAGUUCAUCUAAUCAAAUUAUUUAAUGAACUCCCACUCAGAUUUGACAUCCCUCUAGUCAUCUAAGUGUUACACGAUCCGAGUCGACUAGGCCGUGUUCGAUCAUCACGUGAGACAGACUAGUCAUCAUCGGUGAACAUCUCGAUGUUGAUCGUAUCUUCCAUACGACUCAUGUUCGACCUUUCGGUCUCUGUGUUCCGAGGCCAUGUCUGUACAUGCUAGGCUCGUCAAGUUUAACCUAAGUGUUUUGCAUGUGUAAAACUGUCUUACACCCGUUGUAUGUGAACGUAGGAAUCUAUCACACCGGAUCAUCACGUGGUGCUUCGAAAUGACGAACUUUAGCAACGACGCACAGUUAGGGAGAACACUUUCUUGAAAUUAUUAUAAGGGAUCAUCUUAUUUACUACCGUCGUUCUAAGUAAACAAGAUGCAUAAACAUAAUAAACAUCACAUGCAAUUAUAUAGUAGUGACAUGAUAUGGCCAAUAUCAUAUAGCUCCUUUGAUCUCAAUCUUCGGGGCUCCAUGAUCAUCUUUGUCACCGGCAUGACACCAUGAUCUCCAUCAUCAUGAUCUCCAUCAUCGUGUCUCCAUGAAGUUGCUCGCCAACUAUUACUUCUACCACUAUGGCUAACGGUUUAGCAAUAAAGUAAAGUAAUUACAUGGCGUUAAAUCAUUGACACACAGGUCAUACAAUAAUUAAGACAACUCCUAUGGAUCCUGCCGGUUGUCAUAUUCAUCGACAUGCAAGUCGUGAUUCCUAUUACAAGAACAUGAUCUCAUACAUCACAAUAUAUCAUUCAUCAUUCAUCACAACUUUUGGCCAUAUCACAUCACAAGGCAAUUGCUGCAAAAACAAGUUAGACGUCCUCUAAUAGUUGUUGCAUCUUUUACGUCGCUGCAAUAGGGUUCUAGCAAGAACGUUUUCUUACCUACGAAAAAGCCACAACGUGAUUUGUCAACUUCUAUUUACCCUUCAUAAGGACCCUUUUCAUCGAAUCCGCUCCAACUAAAGUGGGAGAAACAGACACCCGCUAGCCACCUUAUGCAAGUAGUGCAUGUCAGUCGGUGAAACCUGUCUCAUGUAAGCGUACGUGUAAGGUCGGUCCGGGCCGCUUCAUCCCACAAUACCCUGAAGCAAAAUAAGACUAGUAGCGGUAAGAAAGUUGACAACAUCUACGCCCACAACAGAUUUGUGUUCUACUCGUGCAAUAGAGAACUACGCAUAGACCUAGCUCAUGAAGCCACUGUUGGGGAACGUUGCAUAAAAUAAAAAAUUUCCAACGUUCACCAAGAUCAAUCUAUGAGUUCAUCUAGCAACAAGAGAGGGAGUGCAUCUACAUACCCUUGUAGAUCGCGAGUGGAAGCGUACAAGAGAAUGGGGUUGAGGGAGUCAUACUCGUCGUGAUCCAAAUCACCGGAGAUUCUAGCGCCGAACGGACGGCACCUCCGCGUUCAACACACGUAUGGUCAGCGUGACGUCUCCUCCUUCUUUAUCCAGCAAGGGGAAAGGAGAGGUUGAUGAAGAUCCGGCAACACGACGGCGUGGUGGUGGAUGCAGCAGAGUUCCGGCAGGGCUUCGCCUAGUGACUACGGGAGGAGGAGGUGUAGAAAGGGGGGAGGGAGGCGCCAAGACUUCAGGGUGCGGCUGCCCUCCCCUCCCCCUCCUUUAUAUAGGCCCCUUGGGGGGGAGCCGGCCCUGGAGAUGGGAUAUCCAAAGGGGGCGGCGGCCAGGGGGGUGGAGUGCCCCCCAAGGCAAGUGGAGGCGCCCCCCCACCCUAGGGUUUCCAACCAUAGGCGCAGAGGGGGGCCAAGGGGGCACACCAGCCCACCAGGGGCUGGUCCCCUCCCCACUUCAGUCCACGGGGCCCUCCAGGAUAGGUGGCCCCACCCGGUGGACCCCCGGGACCCUUCCGGUGGUCCCGAUACAAUACCGGUGACCCCCGAAACUCUCCCGAUGGCCGAAACUGGACUUCCUAUAUAUAAUUUUAUCUUUGGACCAUUCCGGAACUCCUCGUGACGUCCGGGAUCUCAUCCGGGACUCCGAAAAACUUUCGGUUUGCUGCAUACUCAUAUCUCUACAACCCUAGUGUCACCGAACCUUAAGUGUGUAGACCCUACGGGUUCGGGAGACACGUAGACAUGACCGAGACGGCUCUUCGGUCAAUAACCAACAUCGGGAUCUGGAUACCCAUGUUGGCUCCCACAUGCUCCUCGAUGAUCUCAUCGGAUGAACCAUGAUGUCGAGGAUUCAAGCAACCCCGUAUUCAAUUCCCUUUGUCAAUCGAUAUUUUACUUGCCCGAGAUUCGAUCGUCGGUAUCCCAAUACCUCAUUCAAUCUCGUUACCGGCAAGUCACUUUAAUCGUACCAUAAUGCAUGAUCCCGUGACCAGACACUUGGUCACUUUGAGCUCAUUAUGAUGAUGCACUACCGAGUGGGCCCAGAGAUACCUCUCUGUCAUACGGAGUGACAAAUCCCAGUCUCGAUCCGUGUCAACCCAACAGACACUUUCGGAGAUACCUAUAGUGCACCUUUAUAGUCACCCAGUUACGUUAUGACCUUUGGUACACCCAAAGCUAUCAGGACCCCGACUCAAUGCCACAUCGAUCUAGCAUGUAACACCUCAUAUCACUUUGCGGCCUCACGCACGGUAUUCCCACGGGUGUCGUCUUACCUUUGCCCGGGACCGUUUGCACCUUUUGGCACACGUAUAUGAUAGUGUUGCUGGCAUCCAUAUGGUAAGGAGCCCGGGCUGACAUGGCUAGUCGUAAACCCAAAGUGGCACAGACUUACAGGGACAGGCAUCCAUGACCCAGCAUCGAACGUGUCGGUCAUCAGCAAGUGAAUCCGGGCUUUAGCACCGGGCUAGCAGGACUCCGGUAAACCGUGCUGCAGCGGGCUAACAGGACUCCGGUAUUCAUCGCAUGACAUUUCGCCGAAGGGACAGACACAGGAACGAAGAAGGCACAUGCCGGCCAGCCUAAGUGUUCCGGAGCAGUAGCAAGCUACCAUGGCUCAGUGGAAGCACUAGGAGACAUUUCCCGGUAAGAGAGGCUACUAAGGAUAAACAACUAGAUAGUCAGAUCCCACACAUACCAAGCAUUUCAAUCAUACACACAAUAUGCUCGAUAUGUGCAAAUACAACAAGGCAUCACAACAUGACUCUACAACACAAGUACUUUAUUUAAAGGCUCAGAGAGCCAUACAUAGUAUACACACAAGUACGGGUCACAUGACCCACAUUCAAGUAAUACAAGCAUACAAGCCAACAGCGGAAGUAACUUGUCUGAGUAGAGACAACUAGUAAAAUAAAAGAGGCCUGGGUAAGCCUAGCUAUACUACAUGGUCCUUCACAAGCUCAGGAUCACCACCUGGGCCUCAGUCUACUCAUCGAUGUCAACGUCUACGAAGAACCUGUCAGAAGGGGUUGUAGCAUCUUCUGUAAAAUGUAAAUUAGAGCAACAUGAGUACAAAGGUACUCAGCAAGACUUACAUCAGAUCCUACAUACAUGCACAUUAUCAAGAAGGGUUGGUGGGGUUAUUGCAGCAAGCCAGCUUCGACUCUUGGCUAAGCUAUCCUAUGAGACUCCAACUUGAAAUGGUUUUGCACACACGAGUCCACUACUCACCACUUCAAUACACAACCGAGGAUUCACCUCCGUCUUCCUACGGAAGAGCCAUCCUCGGCACUCACAAUUAUCUUGAGGCUUUUAGUAGUUUCCAUUUACUUGUCUAUGAACUGUUAUAGGCAACACAGAAGUCCUUUACCGCGGACACGGCUAUUCGAAUAGAUCAUUUAUAACCCUGCAGGGGUGUACUUCUUCAUACAUGUUUCCACCACUUAGCAUCUGCACACGACAUGUGCUCGGCAGACUUCAAGCGAAAGCGAAAGCCUAAACACUCAAGUCUCUAGUCCAGGUUUAUCGCCUAUUCAGGUUCCAUCCGCAGGGAGUCCGUCCGAGGUUUCCACAUACGGCCCCGAACGAUGUGUAUAGGGUUCCGUGACACCAAACAGGCGCCCGGUAUACCCGGCCACGUGCCUACCGCAUCACAGCCCACCCCUUCGAUCAGCGUUGCGCACGACCUCCAGCAUACUACAAACACCAGAAACUACUUGCAACUCCUGGACAGAGGACAAGGGUGAUUAAGAAGUCGAGCAGGGUCAUAUUUCAGGGCCCAAUGCAUGGUAGUAGCUGAACCAUGGAUCACAAACACAGAACUCAGUUCCUGAGGACGGCUUCAAUGAGACAAUCCACCAUGUACUCCUACAUGGCCUCUCAUAGCUACCUUUACCAAAUCCUGUUCACACACUUAGCUCACACUCAGUAGAAUAUGUUCACGCACCUCUGAUUCAUCCCCGAUGAAUCAGACCUGACUCAACUCUAAGCAAUAGCAGGCAUGACAAACAAACAUGAAUGAGUAGGCACAACAGGGCUCAAACAACUCCUACUCAUGCUAGUGGGUUUCAUCUAUUUACUGUGGCAAUGAUAGGUCCUGCAGAGGAUAAAGGGGUUCAGCUACCGCAGCAAGUAACAGAUGAAUCAUUGCUGUCCUAAUGCAGUAAAAGAGAGCAGGAGCGAGAGAGUAGGAUUGUAUCGAAAUGAACAAGGGGGUUUUGCUUGCCUGGCACUUCUGAAGAUAGUAUACUUCUUCAUCGGUGUCAGCGAUCACAACGUCGGUACAACGUCUACCGAGGGGGAACAACACUGGCAAACAGAGAAGAAACACGAUCAAUGCAAUGCACAAUAUGAUGCCUGCUAUGACAUGGCAAUAUGAAUGUGUUUUGGGCUAAUGCAAGCUAGAACAGAUUGAGAUGAGUCCAUUUGAACCAAAGAUUCAAAUGCAAACCCAUUUUAAGAGGUCAUAAUAGUGUAUUAACUUGUUUCACCUAAACAGCAAGGUUAAUGUGUUCUAACAUGCAUGAAACCAGUGCAGAUGGAUAGAUUGGAUUUUUUUGAUCAUUUUUCAUAUAUAAAUUAUUUCAUUCUAAGUUACGGUUAAAUUUCUAUGAAUUUUAGAAGUUUAGAGCAUUUUCUGGAAUUUCCUGUAUAAAAAUAAAUCUAGAAAAUACUUAUUGCGUCAGCAUUGCGUCACUCUGACGUCAGCAGUCAACGAGGCCGGUCCAGGUCAAACCUGACGUGUGGGGUCCACACAUCAGUGACACGGUUAACCAACAGGGUUAAUUAAAAUUAAACUAAACCUAAUCUAGUUUAGUUAAGGCCUGGGCCCACAUGUCAGAGGCUAACCUAACUAACUAAGUUAAUUACCGCUCAUUAAUCUAUCGCUUAAUUAAGCAGGGGCCUGGCCCACACGUCAAUGAGUCAGGGGGAAGUCAAACCCCGGUCAAACCCGCCGGACCUGGUCCACGGCUCGUCGCCGGCGACGACAGAGACAACGAGGCGGCUCGGGAAUGCUCUACAGGGCACCGUUUUACUCGUGGUUUGCGGCUACGGCUAGCUAGCAAUGCGGCGCAUCUAAUGGAGCGAAUGGGUGGAGCUGGGGUGGCCUGAGCCGACGGCGGCGAGCUCCAAGGCGGCGGCCGGAGUUCGGGCAAUGACGGGUUUGGCGCCACAGUGCAUGGGAGGAGGAGCUGGUGGGCGCUACGGGCUCUUGGGGGUGCACUGGGUGUAGUGACGCGCUCGGUUUGGACGGAGGUGAACUAAAAUGACGACAGCGACAAGUCUGGCACCAGUGAGGUUUCGGUCUCGACGGAAACGAGGGCUACGAUGAGCUAAUGGACAUGUGAGUAGGGGGGUCAGUAAAGGAGCUUACGGCGAGUGCAGAGGUGGCCUCGGCGUGCUCGGGGAAGCACUGGAGCGAGCGGUGCGGCGAGAGGGAUCUCCGGCGGCCGGUGACGAAGAUGAUCAAGAUGGCGUCAAUCCAGGGCCUCCGGCGAUGCGUGGCUAGACGGAGAGGACGAGGGAGGCGUGGCGAUGCUCGUGGACACGUCGGAGAGGCUCGGGGUUGGCUGCGGCUGCGGCUAUGGCGAACGGCGGCGGCGGUGGCGUUCGGUGGUGAGAGGGAGAGAGAGUAGAGGAGGGGGAGGAGCAUGGGGAGAGUGAGAGAGAGCCACAGGGGUUGCGUGUCGACGUCCAUGGCAUCCAGAGGGACGUCGGGAGGCGGUGGAAAGCUGGAGGUGGCCGAGGGGCGUGGGCGUGAAUGGCGGCCACACGCCUCUCAUCCUACUGGCGAGAGGUGGGAGAUGACUGGCAGAUGGGCCUGGUGGGCUGCUACAGUGCCAGGCCGGCCAGGUAAGCGCCAGGUAUUCUCUCUCUCUCUCUCUUUUGUUAAUGUUUUUCUAUUUUUCUGUAACUUCAGGGCUUUAUUAAAAAUGCCAGGGCAUUUCCAAAAAUCAUGAAACUAAUCAUGGCUACUGUUUAGAAUAUAUCCAACAGUAAACAUUUUAGUUUAUGAUUAUUUGAGCAUUUAAAAUAUUUUAUAGCACUUAAAUGCCCAAAUGCAAAUACUAUAGGAUUUAAUUUAGAAAUCCAGAAUGGCCUAGAAAUAUGUGCAUGACAUUUGGCAGAGGUUUUCACCUUUGACCGAAAUCAUGAACUUUUCUAAAGGGCAUUUGGGAUCACUAAAAAUAUUAUUUUUUUGAACCUAGUUGAAUUCAUUUGGUGCUAGGGUUUCAACAAUCCCCAUUUCAAGUUUCAUGAAAUUUAAACAUGAUGCAUGGAUGCAAAGUCACUAGUUACGAGCAAACUCUAGGGCUGUGAUAACUCACCCCCACUAAACAAGAAUCUCGUCUUGAGAUUCAAGACGUGAGGUAAGAAGACAAAGGGGGCACAAAACCAACACAAUCUUCAUGAUCCAGGUUGCACCUCAUAAGGUUGUUGAUUCGUUGCAUACAUUGAUCUUGACAUCCUCGCUUUUGAGAUCUUCAUCCAUGCGAUGACGACGGAAAGGAACUCUACUAGGAUUGAUCUUCUCAAAGACCGAAUUAUACAAUCUCAACUCGCGGAGUGAGAUGUUGAAACACCUUGAGUUGAGACACAAAACACAUCGAGAGGGAUGGAAGAACAAACGACGGGGUUUGAUUUGGUGGGAAACAAUUCCACGCUUAGAAAGAUGGUGGAUGGUGUCAAGGUGGCGAGGAAAUAAUUGCCAUGAUCCCGUAACGGGGCACCUUAGGGAAGGUGACUCGUAGGUUUGUUACCUUAAGUGGCAAAAGGAAUUAUUUUUGAUUCAGAGAUCAUUGAAACUCUUUAUACCAGCCUAAGGCAAUUCACAACAAUCGUUUGGCAGAGUACAAAGGGAUGGCAUACCCGGACUAGAAUGGAUGAUGUGGACUACCUUGUUGAAGACAACGUAAUGAAUGCUUUUUGCUUAUCAUCGGAGGUGGAGGGGACCCAUGGUAGGACCACUUCUAAAGAUGAUCCUGAACAACAAUUGCUGAGAAGGGCAGUCCAAGGAGGAUUGGCACAAGGCGGUGCAAGCUGGGAACGAAAUGCAAAUGUCGGGAAUGUUCCAACCAUCAUAUCUGCCUGAGAUUCAGAUUUGGUUGGUGUUAGGACAUUCCAGACUCAUCAAGUCUAGGAAGAAAAAUGAAAGUUUGCAACACAAAUCGAUGAGAUGACGUCGCGAGAUUCUCGGGAGAUAAACUACGAUAGCAAGCUCCAAAACAUGAGCUGGUUCUGCUAAACAUGUGUGAACACGCUGUCCCAGACAAACAUGACCACAUAGUAGUCUUAAUAUAAAACACUACCGAGUUCAGGUGGGGAACCAUCAUUGCGGAUAACGAAGUCCUUGCAUAAGUCAUGAUUCUUAAGAAGGAGCUUCUUCUCCCUGAACAAAUCAAUCAGUGGCUUGGUGUGCUAGGGAUACGUAAGCAAUGAAGAUGAUCAGUCUAUCAGACCAUAGAAUACUUCGCACAUGCAUGACUGACUUGGGAUGAUCCCGGAGGGAACAAAACUAACUUUCUCAAAUUCACGGCGGCAACUUGCACCUAAUGCGCGUGAACUUGGAGAGAGUCACUUCUUACAUCCAAGCAUAUUCUUCAUGAACGAAACACGAAGAUAAUGCUUAUAUAGUUUCCAAUACUAGCUGAAGGUUCAACACGAAUCAUGGAAGAGAUAAAAAUGUUGCUGAUGGGCUCAACAACAAUUCAUCUAGGUUUCCAUAUAAGUGGAAUUCCACAAUUAUGUGAACAAGGCGAUAGCAUCGGUCAGACCAAAGGAUAUAACGGUGUAUGCCCGAGGAAACAACCACGGGUAAGACAACAUUACGAAUAUCGUUGGUUCUGAUUUGACUUGACAAUAGCCCAUGCUCAAAUCAGAGAUUGGUUACGAUAAUAGAUCCAACAACUGAUCACAGGGACCAAUCGAUGAAGAUAUCAUCUUUCUUCAACAUACAUACAAGAUAUCACUUAACAUGAACUAAGUCGGACAAGCUUUUAUCUUCCAACUCUCCAAGUUGAUGUAUAGCUUAACCAACUAGCUCAGGGGUAUCCAACACGGAUUCUUGGAGAAAGGGUGGUUUACAAGAAUAAACCAACUUGAUCAUGAACUCAACAUAGCGGUCAGGUGACGACCUAGUGAUACUUCCGAGAAGAUAAUCAGAAAAUCAGGAACCACCGGUAUGUUACUAAGCUCGAGAGAAAUCUUGCUUUUCAGGGCAAGACGAUAUGAUCAAAUGAGCAAGGGAUUGACAAAAUCCUAACUCAACGACCGAAGAGUGCACCGGAAAUAGGGACUAGAUAGCACAAUCAACCUUAGGGUGACGAUUCAAUAAUCAACACGCUAAGAAUGAGGUUAGCGUCCAUUUAACUACCAAGCAACGGAGUUGCUAGCAGUAUUGAUUUCACACACCAUGAUUCACUUGUCAGUAUUCCGGUUGCAACAACACGGAACCGAGGAGCGAAUGAUGAUGGCAAGAAGUAUCACUACUUCAAGAAUCCAUAAGGGAAGGUGCAAUUCUCAUGACGUUCCUGACAUAAAGUGGGUAAUACUUCAGGGUAGAACAGAACAAAAGCUGAAUUAGUAUUUGAUCUGCGAUUUACAACUGCUUUGACCCGAUCCUGGAUAUGGAUGAGGUACGGGAGUUUGUUUCUCCUAGUCAUUCUAGAAUAGAAUGGCUUGACAUACCACUAGAGUAAUAGGCAUCAAUGAACGAAUGCACGCAUACUCUUGACUAUCAAUUGAUAGAUGGGGUCGGAAUACAACUAAGGAGGGACAACCCAAACGAACUUACGAUCUUCUGAGUUGUGGAUGCACAUAUUAGUAUGUCGAGCAAAGAUCAACAUUUUUCUUCCGGAUAACCCAUGCGGAGAAGGUAGGACUGGCAGAUUCACAAUAUAGAAUCGAGAACGCAUCAAGAGCACUCUGGUUGUGAUCUUUCGGUUAAACGAGGAACUUCUGCCAUAAGUAGUUCAUGGUAUUUGGAAGAAGGAAAUACCACGGACCUCGAGGACUAAUGCAAAGGUUACUAAUUUCCUAAAGGAACUAGCAAACACUAUCAUCAUGAGUAAGUGGGGUGAAUCUCGGUUCAAGAACCCAGGAAUAGAAUACCUACUACUAAGUGGCAUCACGGGAUGCUUUCGAGAAUAAAGGCCAGAAUUAUCACACCGGGAACAAAUCAUGGCUAGAUUACUAGAUGAUCCCCUAGGACACCUAGGGUCAUAAUAAUAAUUCCAACAUAUAUGUCGAGGCAAUAGAAUACUUCAACUCAGCAAUUAGUGUGAUUAACCUGGCUCAAAGGAACAUCAAAACCAGAGGGAAAUGAUUUGCAAGUGCAUCAGAUUGUUUAGAAACCUGGGAUGACUCGGACAACAUAACGGCUGUAAAUGCUCAAAAGGAAUUUUGAGACAUUUUGCAAAGAGUUGCAUAGACACUCAACAAUAUCAUAUCAAGGUUCUGGGUCCAACUUAGCAACAUAAUAGGGUAGUAGAACUGAACUAGGCUUAUAAUCAUCAAACCAAUAAGGUACUACUGAUUAGUAACACGUGAACCUGAUAGAGAGAAAAGAUCCUAAUCCUUAACCCCCGGUGGAAGAAUGGACUGACUCAGAUCAGAAUGCCAUGAGGUAAAGAAGUAAAAAGAGCCUUACGUACCAUCCCACAAUCAAUUCCCCUACAUAUAACUAAAGCAUUUCUAGACUCAACAUCGACCAGUUUGGCUUGGUAAUCCUACAGGCAGUCAGGCUCUUAUACCAAAGCUGUCAGGUCCUGAACGAUGUGUACAGGGUUCCGUGACACCAAACGGGCGCCCGGUAUACCCGGCCACGUGCCUACCGCAUCACAGCCCACCCCUCCGGUCAGCGUUGCGCACGGCCUCCAGCAUACUACAAACACCAGAAACUACUUGCAACUCCUGGACAGAGGACAAGGGUGAUUAAGAAGUCGAGCGGGGUCAUAUUUCAGGGCCCAAUGCAUGGUAGUAGCUGAAUCAUGGAUCACAAACACAUAACUCAGUUCCUGAGGGCGGCUUCAAUGAGACAACCCACCAUGUACUCCUACAUGGACUCUCACCGCUACCUUUACCAAAUCGUGUUCACACACUUAGCUCACACUCAGUAGAAUAUGUUCACGCACCUCUGAUUCAUCCCCGGUGAAUCCGACUUAACUCAACUCUAAGCAAUAGCAGGCAUGACAAACAAACAUGAAUGAGUAGGCACAACAGGGCUCAAACAACUCCUACUCAUGCUAGUGGGUUUCAUCAAUUUACUAUGGCAAUGACAGGUCAUGCAGAGGAUAAAGGGGUUCAGCUACCGCAGCAAGUAAUAGAUGAAUCGUUGUUGUCCUAAUGCAGUGAAAGAGAACAGGAGCGAUAGAGUAGCAUUGUAUCGGAAUGAACAAGGGGGUUUUGCUUGCCUAGCACUUCUGAAGAUAGUAUACUUCUUCAUCGGUGUCAUCGAUCACAACAUCGGUACAACGUCUACCGAGGGGGAACAACACCGGCAAACAGAGAAGCAACAUGAUCAAUGCAAUGCACAAUAUGAUGCAUGCUAUGACAUGGCAAUAUGAAUGUGUUUUGGGCUAAUGCAAGCUAGAACAGAUUGAGAUGAGUCCAUUUGAACCAAAGAUUCAAAUGCAAACCCAUUUUAAGAGGUCAUAAUAGUGUAUUAACUUGUUUCACCUAAACAGCAAGGUUAAUGUGUUCUAACAUGCAUGAAACCAGUGCAGAUGGAUAGAUUGGAUUUGUUUGAUCAUUUUUCAUAUAUAAAUUAUUUCAUUCUGAGUUACGGUUAAAUUUCUAUGAAUUUUAGAAGUUUAGAGCAUUUUCUGGAAUUUCCUGUAUAAAAAUAAAUCCAGAAAAUACUUAUUGCGUCAGCAUUGCAUCGCUCUGACGUCAACAGUGAACGAGGCCAGUCCAGGUCAAACCUGACGUGUGGGGUCCACACGUCAGUGACACGGUUAACCAACAGGGUUAAUUAAAAUUAAACUAAACCUAAUCUAGUUUAGUUAAGGCCUGGGCCAACAUGUCAGAGGCUAACCUAACUAAGUUAAUUACAGCUAAUUAAUCUAUCGCUUAAUUAAGCAGGGGCCUGGCCCACACGUCAGUGAGUCAGGGGGAAGUCAAACCCCGGUCAAACGGGGUCAAACCCGCCGGACCUGGUCCACGGCUCAUCGCCGGCGACGACAGAGACGAUGGGGCGGCUCGUGAAUGCUCUACAGGGCACCGUUUUACUCAUGGUUUGUGGCUACGGCUAGCUAGCAAUGCGGCGCAUCUAAUUGAGCGAACGGGAGGAGCUAGGGUGUCCUGAGCCGACGGCGGCGAGCUCCAAGGCGGCGGCCGGAGUUCGGGCAACGACGGGUUCGGUGCCAUAGUGCAUGGGAGGAGGAGCCGGUGGGCGCUACGGGCUCCUGGGGGUGCACUGGGUGUAGUGACGCGCUCGGUUUGGACGGAGGCGAACUAAAAUGACGACGGCAACAAGUCCGGCGCCGGUGAGGUUUCGGUCUCGACGGAAACGAGGGCUACGAUGAGCUAAUGGACAUGUGAGUAGGGGGGUUAGUAGAGGAGCUUACGACGAGUGCAUAGGUGGCCUAGGCGUGCUCGGGGAAGCACCGGAGCGAGCGGUGCAGCGAGAGGGAUCUCCGGCAGCCGGCGACGAAGAUGAUGAAGAUGGCGUCGAUCCAGGGCCUCCGGCGAUGCGUUGCUGUGCGGAGAGGACUAGGGAGGCGUGGCGAUGCUCGUGGACACGUCGGAGAGGCUCGGAGUUGGCUGCGGCUGCGGCUAUGGCGAACGGCGGCGGCGGUGGCGUUCGGUGGUGAGAGGGAGAGAGAGUAGAGGAGGGGGAGGAGCAUGGGGAGAGUGAGAGAGAGCCACAGGGGUUGCGUGUCGACGUCCAGGGCAUCCAGAGCGACGUCGGGAGGCGGUGGAAAGCUGGAGGUGGCCGAGGCGCGUGGGCGUGAAUGGCGGCCACACGCCUCUCGUCCUACUGGCGAGAGGUGGGAGAUGACUGGCAGAUGGGCCUGGUGGGCUGCUACAGUGCCAGGCCGGCCAGGUAAGCGCCAGAUAUUCUCUCUCUCUCUUUUGUUAAUGUUUUUUUAUUUUUCUGUAACUUCAGGGCUUUAUUAAGAAUGCCAGGGCAUUUCCAAAAAUCAUGAAACUAAUCAUGGCUACUGUUUAGAAUAUAUCCAACAGUAAACAUUUUAGUUUAUGAUUAUUUGAGCAUUUAAAAUAUUUUAUAGCACUUAAAUGCCCAAAUGCAAAUACUAUAGGAUUUAAUUUAGAAAUCCAGAAUGGCCUAGAAAUAUGUGCAUGACAUUUGGCAGAGGUUUUCACCGUUGACAGAAAUCAUGAAAUUUUCUAAAGGGCAUUUGGGAUCACUGAAAAUAUAUAUUUUUUGAACCUAGUUGAAUUCAUUUGGUGCUAGGGUUUCAACAAUCCCCAUUUCAAGUUUCAUGAAAUUUAAACAUGAUGCAUGGAUGCAAAGCCACUAGUUACAAGCAAACUCUGGGGCUAUGACAAAAGCACUCCUACGGUAUCGGUAUCCGGGAGUUACACGAUCUCAUGGUCUAAGGAGAAGAUACUUGACACUGGAAAAGCUCUAGCAAACGAACUACACGAUCUUGUGCUAUGCUUAGGAUUGGGUCUUGUCCAUCACAUCAUUUUCCUAAUGAUGUGAUCCCGUUAUCAACGACAUCUAAUGUCCAUAGUCAGGAAACCAUGACUAUCUGUUGAUCAACGAGCUAGUCAACUAGAGGCUCACUAGGGACAUAUUAUGGUCUAUGUAUUCACACGUGUAUUACGAUUUCCGGAUAAUACAAUUAUAGCAUGAAUAAAGACAAUUAUCAUGAACAAGGAAAUAUAAUAAUAAUCCUUUUAUUAUUGCCUCUAGGGCAUAUUUCCAACAACAUAUUCUACGAAGAUCUUUAUCGGUCAAACCACAUAACAACAUAGGUUCUUCCCUUUGUCAUCGGUAUGUUACUUGCCUGAGAUUCGAUCGUCGGUAUCUCAAUACCUAGUUCAAUCUCGUUACCGGCAAGUAUGUUUACUCAUUCCAUAAUGCAUGAUCCCGCAACUAACUCAUUAGUCACAUUGCUUGCAAGGCUUAUAGUGAUGUGCAUUACCGAGAGGGCCCAGUGAUACCUCUCCGACAAUCGGAGUGACAAAUCCUAACCUCGAUCUAUGCCAACUCAACAAGUACCAUCGGAGACACCUGUAGAGCACCUUUAUAAUCCCCCAGUUACGUUGUGACGUUUGGUAGCACACAAAGUGUUCCUCUGGUAUUUGGGAGUUGCAUAAUCUCAUAGUCAUAGGAACACGUAUAAGUCAUGAAGAAAGCAAUAGCAACAAACUAAACGAUCAAGUGCUAAGCUAACGAAAUGGGUCAAGUCAAUCACAUCAUUCUCUAAUGAUGUGAUCCCGUUAAUCAAAUGACAACUGUCUAUGGUUAGGAAACACAACCAUCUUUGAUUCAACGAGCUAGUCAAGUAGAGGCAUACUAGUGACACUUUGUUUGUCUAUGUAUUCACACAUGUACUAAGUUUCCGGUUAGUACUAUUCUAGCAUGAAUAAUAAACAUUUAUCAUGAUAUAUGGAAAUAUAAAUAACAACUUUAUUAUUGCCUCUAGGGCAUAUUUCCUUCAAAAUUUAGAGAUGACAAACAAAGCUUAAGUAGCAUCUGUUCUACUUGAUUGUAGAAAUUUCUUUUACCUGUAGAAUAACUCGGUUGUUAUUUCUUUAAACAUGAAGUGUGAUAUUAACUUAUCUCAAUCUAGGAACACAAAGCAAAUAUUACAUGUGCUUCUAUGGACUCCAAGCAGAUGAGAAAUCAUUUUGUCUAGAAGUUCCUUAGAAGGAUAUAAUAGUUUUGACCUAAACAAAUUUACUAUUGUACUCGUGUCUUACAAAGUUAAAGCUGAAAAUCAACAUAACCAUUGGACCCUUUGAAAGACAAGUGUAGGAAAUAAAUAGUAGGAUAUAAAUUUGAGCAGAAUGUUUGAUCAAAUACUGAACAAAUAACCCAGCAAACUACUAAAACUCGUCUAUUCUACCUUAUAUGAACUGUCACGAUGAUAAAGCUAUGAUUUUUUUUGGCAAAUAAGUAUCCUAGAACUAAUACAAGUUCAAACAAAUCAGCCACAGAUCCCCGAGCCCAUCCAACCAGAUAGCUGAAACUGAAAGAAGCAUUAGCUCGAUUAGAGCACCUACAGCGGAACUUGACAAAUUUGACCCCUGAAACGCCCGCGGACACGCGUGUUAGUAGACAUAAACCAAUCUUUAAGCAGAGCACGUCCGGCAGUCGGAUGCUCCCCAAAGUGUUGGUCCAGUCGCCGGCAAGGUAGAGUAGGGCAUGGGAUACAAGGCGGCUCACGGGACUCGAGGCGCCACCGUCCCCCAUUCCCAACUCUUCUCAGUCGGAACCCGGACAGUGCCGGUGGACGUCAGAUCGAUGAUGGAUCCUUCCUGGGACGAGCCAGCAACAUCCACCACCACGUGGUUGUGCAGCCCGAACUAGUGCACAAUAUGGGGAGCCGGAAAAUACGACUCCGCCUCCGCAACGCCCACCACCGCGAGGGCUGUCGCUGCCUCCCGCACCCGCUGCAUUGCAUGGCAGGAGCGCCGAACUAUGUUUUGCAUCGGGCGACGCCCAUGGUGCGUCCAUGGCCUCAGUGCGCCAAUGGAGGGGCUGCGCGUCCGCCACCCAUUCAAACGCCAGAUGGACCGCACCACCUUUGUGUUGGAAAUAUGCCCUAGAGGAAAUAAUAAAAGGAUUAUUAUUGUAUUUCCUUGUUCAUGAUAAUUAUCUUUAUUCAUGCUAUAAUUGUAUUAUCCAGAAAUCGUAAUAGACGUGUGAAUACAUAGACCAUAAUAUGUCCCUAGUGAGCCUCUAGUUGACUAGCUCGUUGAUCAACAGAUAGUCAUGGUUUCCUGACUAUGGACAUUAGAUGUCGUUGAUAAUGGGAUCACAUCAUUAAGAUAAUGAUGUGAUGGACAAGACCCAAUCCUAAGCAUAGCACAAGAUCGUGUAGUUCGUUUGCUAGAGCUUUUCCAAUGUCAAGUAUCUUCUCCUUAGACCAUGAGAUCGUGUAACUCCCGGAUACCGUAGGAGUCCUUUGGGUGUACCAAACGUCACAACGUAACUGGGUGACUAUAAAGGUGCACUACAGGUAUCUCCGAAAGUGUUUGUUGGGUUGACACCGAUCGAGACUGGGAUUUGUCACUCCGUAUGACGGAGAGGUAUCGCUGGGCCCACUCGGUAGUGCAUCAUCAUAAUGAGCUCAAAGUGACCAAGUGUCUGGUCACGGGAUCAUGCAUUACGGUACGAGUAAAGUGAAUUGCCGGUAACGAGAUUGAACGAGGUAUUGGGAUACCGACGAUCGAAUCUCGGGCAAUUAAAAUACCGAUUGACAAAGGGAAUUGAAUACGUGGUUGCUUGAAUCCUCGACAUCGUGGUUCAUCCGAUGAGAUCAUCGAGGAGCAUGUGGGAGCCAACAUGGGUAUCCAGAUCCCGCCGUUGGUUAUUGACUGGAGAGCCGUCUCAGUCAUGUCUACGUGUCUCCCGAAUCCGUAGGGUCUACACACUUAAGGUUCGGUGACGCUAGGGUUGUAGAGAUAUGAGUAUGCAGCAAACCGAAAGUUGUUCGGAGUCCCGGAUGAGAUCCCGGACAUCACGAGGAGUUCCGAAUGGUCCGGAGAUAAAGAAUUAUAUAUAGGAAGUGCAUUUUCAGCGAUCGGGAGAGUUUCGGGGGUCACCGGUAUUGUACCGGGACCACCGGAAGGGUCCCGGGGGUCCACUGGGUGGGGCCACCUAUCCCGGAGGGCCCCGUGGGCUGAAGUGGGGAGGGGACCAGCCCAUAGUGGGCUGGUGCGACCCCCUUGCCCCACCUACGCCUAGGGUUGGAAACCCUAGGGUGGGGGGCGCCUCCACUUGCCUUGGGGGGCACUCCACCCCCCUGGCCGCCGCCCCCUUGGGAGAUCCCAUCUCCAGGGCCGGCGCCCCCCCAGGGGGCCUAUAUAAAGGAGGGGGAGGGGAGGGCAGCCGCACCCUGAAGUCUUGGCGCCUCCCUCCCCCCUUGCUACACCUCCUCCUCCCGUAGUCGCUUGGCGAAGCCCUGCCGGAACUCUGCUGUAUCCACCACCACGCCGUCGUGCUGCUGGAUCUUCAUCAACCUCUCCUUCCCCCUUGCUGGAUCAAGAAGGAGGAGACGUCACGCUGACCGUACGUGCGUUGAACGCGGAGGUGCCGUCCGUUCGACGCUAGGAUCUCUGGUGAUUUGGAUCACGACGAGUACGACUCCCUCAACCCCGUUCUCUUGAACGCUUCCGCUCGCGAUCUACAAGGGUAUGUAGAUGCACUCCCCUCUCUCGUUGCUAGAUGAACUCAUAGAUUGAUCUUGGUGAACGUAGGAAAUUUUUUAUUUUAUGCAACGUUCCCCAACAGUGGCAUCAUGAGCUAGGUCUAUGCGUAGUUCUCUAUUGCACGAGUAGAACACAAAUCUGUUGUGGGCGUAGAUGUUGUCAACUUUCUUGCCACUACUAGUCUUAUUUUGCUUCAGCGGUAUUGUGGGAUGAAGUGGCCCGGACCGACCUUACACGUACGCUUACGUGACACAGGUUCCACCGACUGACAUGCACUAGUUGCAUAAGGUGGCUAGCGGGUGUCUGUCUCUCCCACUUUAGUUGGAGCGGAUUCGAUGAAAAGGGUCCUUAUGAAGGGUAAAUAGAAGUUGACAACUCACGUUGUGGCUUUUUUGUUGGUAAGAAAACAUUCUUGCUAGAACCCUAUUGCAGCCACGUAAAAGAUGCAACAACAAUUAGAGGACGUCUAACUUGUUUUUGAAGCAAUUGCCUUGUGAUGUGAUAUGGCCAAAAGUUGUGAUGAAUGAUGAAUGAUAUAUUGUGAUGUAUGAGAUCAUGUUCUUGUAAUAGGAAUCACGACUUGCAUGUCGAUGAGUAUGAAAACCGGCAGGAGCCAUAGGAGUGGUCUUAAUUAUUGUAUGACCUGCGUGUCAAUGAUUUAACGCCAUGUAAUUACUUUACUUUAUUGCUAAACCGUUAGCCAUAGUAGUAGAAGUAAUAGUUGGCGAGCAACUUCAUGGAGGCACGAUGAUGGAGAUCAUGAUGAUGGAGAUCAUGGUGUCAUGCCGGUGACAAAGAUGAUCAUGGAGCCCCGAAGAUGGAGAUCAAAGGAGCUAUAUGAUAUUGGCCAUAUCAUGUCACUACUAUAUAAUUGCAUGUGAUGUUUAUUAUGUUUAUGCAUCUUCUUUACUUAGAACGACUGUAGUAAAUAAGAUGAUCCCUUAUAAUAAUUUCAAGAAAGUGUUCUCCCUAACUGUGCGUCGUUGCUAAAGUUCGUCGUUUCGAAGCACCACGUGAUGAUCGGGUGUGAUAGAUUCCUACGUUCACAUACAACGGGUGUAAGACAGUUUUACACAUGCAAAACACUUAGGUUAAACUUGACGAGCCUAGCAUGUAUAUACAUGGCCUCAGAACACAGAGACCGAAAGGUCGAACAUGAGUCAUAUGGAAGAUACGAUCAACAUGGAGAUGUUCACCAAUGAUGACUAGUCCGUCUCACGUGAUGAUCGGACACGUCCUAGUCGACUCGGAUCGUGUAACACUUAGAUGACUAGAGGGAUGUCAAAUCUGAGUGGGAGUUCACUAAAUUAGAUGAACUUAAUUAUCAUGAACUUAGUCUAAAAUCUUUGCAAAAAUGUCUUGUAGAUCAAAUGGCCAACGCUCAUGUCAACAUGAACUUCAACGAGUUCCUAGAGAAAACCAAGCUGAAAGAUGAUGGCAGCAACUAUAUGGACUGGGUCCAGAACCUGAGGAUCAUCCUCAUAGCUUCCAAGAAAGCAUAUGUCCUAGAAGGACCACUAGGUGAUGCACCCAUCCCAGAGAACCAAGAUGUUAUGAACGCUUGGCAGUCACGUGCUGAUGAUUACUCCCUCGUUCAGUGCGGCAUGCUUUACAGCUUAGAACCGGGUCUCCAAAAGCGUUUUGAGAAACACGGAGCAUAUGAAAUGUUCGAGGAGCUGAAAAUGGUUUUCCAAGCUCAUGCCCGGGUCGAGAGAUAUGAAGUCUCCGACAUGUUCUAUAGUUGUAAGAUGGAGGAAAAUAGUUCUGUCAGUGAGCACAUACUCAAAAUGUCUGGGUUGCACAACUGCCUAACCCAGCUGGACAUCAACCUCCCGGACGAGGCGGUCAUUGACAGAAUCCUUCAGUCGCUCCCACCAAGCUACAAGAGAUUUGUGAUGAACUACAAUAUGCAGGGGAUGGUGAAAACUAUUCCUGAAGUAUUUUCAAUACUGAAGUCUGCAGAGGUAGAAAUCAAGAAAGAACAUCAAGUGUUGAUGGUCAAUAAAACCACCAAGUUCAAGAAGGGCAAGGGUAAGAAAAACUUCAAGACGGACGGCAAGGAUGUUGCCGCACCCGGUAGGCCAGUUGCCGGGAAGAAGUCAAAGAAUGGACCCAAGCCUGAGACUGAGUGCUUUUAUUGCAAAAGGAAGGGUCACUGGAAGCGGAACUGCCCCAAAUAGUUAGCGGACAAGAAGGCCGGCAACACUAAAGGUAUAUGUGAUAUACAUGUAAUUGAUGUGUACCUUACCAGUACUCGUAGUAACUCCUGGGUAUUUGAUACCGGUGCCGUUGCUCAUAUUUGUAACUCACAGUAGGAGCUGCGGAAUAAGCGGAGACUGGCGAAGGACGAGGUGACGAUGCGCGUCGGGAAUGGUUCCAAGGUCGAUGUGAUUGCCGUCGGCACGCUGCCUCUACAUUUACCCACGGGAUUAGUUUUAAACCUCAAUAAUUGUUAUUUAGUGCCAAGUUUGAGCAUGAACAUUGUAUCUGGAUCUCGUUUAAUACGAGAUGGCUACUCAUUUAAAUCCGAGAAUAAUGGUUGUUCUAUUUAUAUGAGAGAUAUGUUUUAUGGUCAUGCCCCGAUGGUCAAUGGUUUAUUCUUAAUGAAUCUCGAACGUAAUGUUACACAUAUUCAUAGUGUGAAUACCAAAAGAUGUAAAGUUGAUAACGAUAGUCCCACAUACUUGUGGCACUGCCGCCUUGGUCAUAUUGGUGUCAAGCGCAUGAAGAAGCUCCAUGAUGAUGGACUUUUAGAGUCUGUCGAUUAUGAAUCAUUUGACACAUGCGAACCAUGCCUCAUGGGCAAAAUGACCAAGACUCCGUUCUCCGGAACAAUGGAGCGAGCAACCAACUUAUUGGAAAUCAUACAUACUGAUGUGUGUGGUCCAAUGAGCGUUGAGGCUCGCGGAGGAUAUCAUUAUGUUCUCACUCUCACUGAUGACUUGAGUAGAUAUGGGUAUGUCUACUUGAUGAAACACAAGUCUGAGACCUUUGAAAAGUUCAAGGAAUUUCAGAAUGAGGUAGAGAAUCAACAUGACCGAAAGAUAAAGUUCCUACGAUCAGAUCGUGGAGGAGAAUAUUUAAGUCACGAAUUUGGUACGCACUUAAGGAAAUGUGGAAUCAUUCCACAACUCACGCCGCCUGGAACACCUCAGCGUAACGGUGUGUCCGAAUGUCGUAAUCGCACUCUAUUGGAUAUGGUGCGAUCUAUGAUGUCUCCUACCGAUUUACUGCUAUCAUUUUGGGGAUACGCUCUAGAGACAGCUACAUUCACUUUAAACAGGGCUCCGUCUAAAUCCGUUGAGACGACACCGUAUGAAUUAUGGUUUGGGAAGAAACCUAAGCUAUCGUCUCUAAAAGUUUGGGGAUGCGAUGCUUAUGUCAAGAAACUUCAACCUGAAAAGCUCGAACCCAAGUCGGAAAAAUGCGUCUUCAUAGGAUACCCUAAGGAAACCAUUGGGUAUACCUUCUACUUAAGAUCCGAGGGCAAGAUCUUUGUAGCCAAGAACGGAUCCUUUCUGGAAAAAGAGUUUCUCUCGAAAGGAGUAAGUGGGAGGAAAGUAGAACUCGAUGAAGUAGUACCUCUUGAACCGGAAAGUAGUGGAGCUCAGGAAAAUGUUCCUGUGGUGCCUACACCGACUAGAGAGGAAAUUAAUGAUGAUGAUCACAGUACUUUGGAUCAAGUUGCUACUGAACUUCGUAGGUCCACAGGGACACAUUCCAAACCAGAGUGGUAUGGCAACCCUGUCCUGGAAAUCAUGUUUUUAGACAACGGUGAACCUUCGAACUAUGAAGAAGCGAUGGCGGGCCCAGAUUCCAACAAAUGGCUUGAAGGCAUGCAAUCCGAGAUAGAAUCCAUGUAUGAAAACAAAGUAUGGACUUUGACAGACUUGCCCGAUGAUCAGCGAGCGAUAGGAAACAAAUGGAUCUUUAAGAAGAAGACAGACGCGGAUGGUAAUGUUACCAUCUAUAAAGCUCGACUUGUCGCUAAGGGUUAUCGGCAAGUUCAAGGGGUUGACUACGAUGAAACUUUCUCUCCCGUAGCAAAGCUGAAGUCCGUCUGAAUCAUGUUAGCAAUUGUCGCAUACUAUGAUUAUGAGUUAUGGAAGAUGGACGACAAAACGGCAUUCCUUAACGGGCAUCUUAAGGAAGAACUGUAUAUGAUGCAGCCGGAGGGUUUUGUCGAUCCUAAGAAUGAUAAUAAGGUAUGCAAGCUCCAGCAAUCCAUUUAUGGGCUGGUGCAAGCAUCUCGGAGUUGGAACAUUCGCUUUGAUGAGAUUUUCAAAGCGUUUGGGUUUAUGAAGACUUAUGGAGAAGCCUGCGUUUACAAGAAAGUGAGUGGGAGCUCUGUAGCAUUUCUCAUAUUAUAUGUAGAUGACAUACUUUUGAUGGGAAAUGAUAUAAAACUUUUGGACAGCAUUAAGGCCUACUUGAAUAAGUGUUUUUCAAUGAAGGACCUUGGAGAAGCUGCUUACAUAUUAGGCAUCAAGAUCUAUAGGGAUAGAUCGAGACGCCUCAUAGGUCUUUCACAAAGCACAUACCUUAAUAAAAUAUUGAAGAAGUUUAAAAUGGAUCAGUCCAAGAAAGGGUUCUUGCCUGUAUUGCAAGGUGUGAAGUUGAGCUUGGCUCAAUGCCCGACCACGGCAGAAGAUAAAGAAGAGAUGAGUGUCAUCCCCUAUGCCUCAACCAUAGGAUCUAUUAUGUAUGCCAUGUUGUGCACCAGACCUGAUGUAAACCUUGCCGUAAGUUUGGUAGGAAGGUACCAAAGUAAUCCCGGCAAGGAACACUGGACAGCGGUCAAGAAUAUCCCGAAGUACCACAAAAGGACAAAGGACAUGUUUCUCGUUUAUGGAGGUGACAAAGAGCUCGUCGUAAAGGGUUACGUCGAUGCUAGCUUCGACACAGAUCUGGAUGACUCUAAGUCACAAACCGGAUACGUGUAUAUGUUGAAUCGUGGAGCAGUAAGCUGGUGCAGUUGCAAGCAGAGCGUCGUGGCGGGAUCUACAUGUGAAGCGGAGUACAUGGCAGCCUCGGAGGUAGCGCAUGAAGCAAUAUGGAUGAAGGAGUUCAUCACCGACCUAGGAGUCAUACCCAAUGCGUCGGGGCCAAUCACUCUCUUCUGUGACAACACUGGAGCUAUUGCCCUUGCCAAGGAGCCCAGGUUUCACAAGAAGACCAGGCACAUCAAGCGUCGUUUCAACUCCAUUCGUGAAAAUGUUCAAGAUGGAUACAUAGAUAUUUGCAAAGUACAUACGGAUCUGAAUAUCGCAGAUCCGUUGACUAAACCUCUUCUGCGAGCAAAACAUGAUCAACACCAGAACUCUAUGGGUGUUCGAUUCAUCACAAUGUAACUAGAUUAUUGACUAUAGUGCAAGUGGGAGACUGUUGGAAAUAUGCCCUAGAGGCAAUAAUAAAAGGAUUAUUAUUAUAUUUCCUUGUUCAUGAUAAUUGUCUUUAUUCAUGCUAUAAUUGUAUUAUCCGGAAAUCGUAAUACACGUGUGAAUACAUAGACCAUAAUAUGUCCCUAGUGAGCCUCUACUUGACUAGCUCGUUGAUCAACAUAUAGUCAUGGUUUCCUGACUAUGGACAUUAGAUGUCGUUGAUAAUGGGAUCACAUCAUUAGGAGAAUGAUGUGAUGGACAAGACCCAAUCCUAAGCAUAGCACAAGAUCGUGUAGUUCGUUUGCUAGAGCUUUUCCAAUGUCAAGUAUCUUCUCCUUAGACCAUGAGAUCGUGUAACUCCCGGAUACCGUAGGAGUGCUUUGGGUGUACCAAACGUCACAACGUAACUGGGUGACUAUAAAGGUGCACUACAGGUAUCUCCGAAAGUGUAUGUUGGGUUGACACGGAUCGAGACUGGGAUUUGUCACUCCGUAUGACGUAGAGGUAUCUCUGGGUCCACUCGGUAGUGCAUCAUCAUAAUGAGCUCAAAGUGACCAAGUGUCUGGUCACGGGAUCAUGCAUUACGGUACGAGUAAAGCGACUUGCCGGUAAAGAGAUUGAACAAGGAAUUGGGAUACCGAUGAUCGAAUCUCGGGCAAGUAAAAUACCGAUUGACAAAGGGAAUUGAAUACGGGGUUGCCUGAAUCCUCGACAUCGUGGUUCAUCCGAUGAGAUCAUCGAGGAGCAUGUGGGAGCCAACAUGGGUAUCUAGAUCCCGCUGUUGGUUAUUGACCGGAGAGCCAUCUCGGUCAUGUCUACGUGUCUCCCGAACCCGUAGGGUCUACACACUUAAGGUUCGGUGACGCUAGGGUUGUAUAGAUAUGAGUAUGCAGCAAACUGAAAGUUGUUCGGAGUCCCGGAUGAGAUCCCGGACGUCACGAGGGGUUCCGGAAUGGUCCGGAGAUAAAGAAUUAUAUAUAGGAAGUGCAGUUUCGGCCAUCGGGAGAGUUUCGGGGGUCACCGGUAUUGUACCGGGACCACCGGAAGGGUCCCUGGGGUCCACCGGGUGGGGCCACCAAUCCCGGAGGGCCCCGUGGGCUGAAGUGGGGAGGGGACCAGCCCCUGGUGGGCUGGUGCGCCCCCCUUGGGCCCCCCCUCCCGCGCCUAGGGUUGGAAACCCUAGGGUGGGGGGGGCGCCUCCACUUGCCUUGGAGGGCACUCCACCCCCUGGCCGCCGUCCCCUUGGGAGAUCCCAUCUCUAGGGCCGGCUCCCCCCCAGGGGUCCUAUAUAAAGGAGGGGGAGGGGAGGGCAGCCGCACCCUGAAGUCUUGGCGCCUCCCUCCCCCCUUGCUACACCUCCUCCUCCCGUAGUCGCUUGGCGAAGCCCUGCCGGAACUCUGCUGCAUCCACCACCACGUCGUCGUGCUGCUGGAUCUUCAUCAACCUCUCCUCCCCCCUUGCUGGAUCAAGAAGGAGGAGACGUCACACUGACCGUACGUGUGUUGAACGCGGAGGUGCCGUCCGUUCGGCGCUAGGAUCUCCGGUGAUUUGGAUCAUGACGAGUACGACUCCCUCAACCCCAUUCUCUUAAACGCUUCCGCUCGCGAUCUACAAGGGUAUGUAGAUGCACUCCCCUCUCUUGUUGCUAGAUGAACUCAUAGAUUGAUCUUGGUGAACGUAGGAAAUUUUUAUUUUAUGCAACGUUCCCCAACACUUUGGUGAGGCGGUGAUGGUACACCUAGCGCCGGAUCCAUGCAUCAUUUGGGCGGACGCAUUGGAUUCCCCGCGGAAGGAGUUCGAGUGUUGCCGUUGCCAUCGGGCAGCCUCCUCCCGGGAGCGGUGGAGCGCAAGCUGGAUGGCCAGCUCCUCCUAGGAGCCGCGUGGGAUGAGUUCGGGGUUGACGGAUCUGGAGGUGUAACACUGGGAUCCGCCUCCUGCCAUGCCGAAGAAGGCCAUAAGAUCGUCGAACGGGAGCUUGGGUGGCGGCAUAGAGUGGAGUAAAGUGGCUAGGGUUUGGUCCGGCAAGCGGAUGGGGAGGAAUAUAUGUGGGGUCGGGUGGGCCAGCGUGGACCGGGACCGACAUGGCGGACGCGCCUGGGCGCCGCAUAUUCUUCCUAGAUUUGGGCUGGAUAUCAGGGGUGCUGGUUAGCUUGGGCGUUUGAGGCCCAUCUGGAUAGUUUUUCUGUGACCUGACCGUUCGUCCGGGCGUUUGAGGUGGGUUUGGGACGCCCAGGUGUAAAUGCUCUUAGACCAUGUAGUACCUUGAGGAGGAUGGUGGGUCCAUGGAACAACUACAGCCUCUCCAUUUUGUUUGGGCGCAGGGCGAUAACGGAGUUAUCUCUACUCCUAAAGAGGGAGUCGUUAGUCUCCCUUCCACGGUUUUUUUGUCUUACCUCCCAUCUUUGUUUCAUUUUUUCCGUCUCUUUUUCCACCACCGUCUGUUUUUUCUCAUCUCCACCUGGCAUGUAACGAAAAAAAAUCUGUUUCAUAGGUCGAUUGUCAAGGUCCGAGAGCCGCCGCCACCUUCAUUGCGGACCUCUAGGUCGCCGUCCGGACACACCGCCGAGGUCCGCAAUCACCGACGUUGAGGUCCGAGAGGAGCUGCCGCCCCCUUCAUUCUGGGCCUGGACGCUUCAUGGUCCUCCUACCUCUCCCUUUCCUCUCCCCUUCUCUCCCGCUUCCAUCCUCACUCGCCGCCCCUGCCUCUCNNNNNNNNNNNNNNNNNNNNNNNNNNNNNNNNNNNNNNNNNNNNNNNNNNNNNNNNNNNNNNNNNNNNNNNNNNNNNNNNNNNNNNNNNNNNNNNNNNNNNNNNNNNNNNNNNNNNNNNNNNNNNNNNNNNNNNNNNNNNNNNNNNNNNNNNNNNNNNNNNNNNNNNNNNNNNNNNNNNNNNNNNNNNNNNNNNNNNNNNNNNNNNNNNNNNNNNNNNNNNNNNNNNNNNNNNNNNNNNNNNNNNNNNNNNNNNNNNNNNNNNNNNNNNNNNNNNNNNNNNNNNNNNNNNNNNNNNNNNNNNNNNNNNNNNNNNNNNNNNNNNNNNNNUCUCUCUCUCUCUCUCUCUCUCUCUUGUUUCCUACCCCACUGGUUCUACAAUGCUGGUCGUCGCCUUGGGUUGGCGAACCUAGCUACUGUGGGUUGGGAUUCAAAUGCCACAUCAUCUUUGGGACGCGGCCGUGACGGCUUGGCCUGAUGCCUGCGAAGUAGGGCGAGCAGAGACAACAUGAGACUGCGCCGCUGUGCUGUUCGCCGUGACGCGCUGUCACGCUGUGUAGAUGGAGGAUGCGUGCCCAAGCCUUGUUGUGCCUGUCUUCCCGUGCGGUAGUCGGGAUCUGGACUGGAUCGGGGUUGAGUUCGACACCACCGAACCCCGGCUUCCAGGAGACCAGGCGCCUCCUCUCCUCAUCACCCGUCUCACCAGAGGCAUGUGCAGAAUUCCGUACACCAUCUGCGCAAACAUGGUGGUCGACGACGCUCUGGAUGUGGUCUACGUGAGGACUAGGUUCCAUCAUUAACAUGUACCCUGGCAAGGUAUGUGCUAUGGGAUGUAAACUCUCGAUUUUAUCUUCAUUUUAGUUGCCUUCAUCUCAUGCUUUGUUCGUUCCAUAGGCAUUUGUCAUGAAUCUAUUUUCAGGAGGGUGAUGUUAACGAUUUCAAAAACUUGAUAGCAGGGUAUGGCUAUAGUUAUUGGUCAUGCAUUAUCGCGAGGCUUGACAAGCAUACCAUAAAAUGGUUUUUAUUUAUGCUCUCGUAGGUUAAACCAAUCUCUGUCAUUAUGAAAUUGGCAUAGCUGAACAUGAUCAGGACUUCAGCAGGGCAGGGUCAUUACUUUGGAGUUUCAGCACUCAUAGUUGGUGAGUGCUUAUGUCCUAAAAUUUUGGAUGUGACUAAACAUAGGCUGGUAUGGCUAAUCUUUUUUGCUUUUCUGUCCUUGCUCUUCACGGAAUCUUCAGGUUUACGGAUUGAUAAUUGUGAUCUAUGUUUCAACCACUUCCCAAUGUUUUACUUGAUGAGAAGGUUCUAAUUUUAUUUUAUUUUAUUUCACUUGAUGAGAAGGGUCCAUGUUUCACCGACUUUGUACAAGUGUGUUUGCUUAGCUAGAUUUCUGCCCUUAUUUUCUAUUUGACAUCCCUCAAUCAUUUUCUGCAGAUUCACUUCGUUCGUAUUCUAUAUUGUUGUAAGUGCACCUAGGGAUAUUAUAGUAGUUCUUAUCUGCAGUUUACUACAACUGGUGACCACAUCUCCAUAUUAUUAUCUUUAAAAUGUACUUUCAAAAAGUAAACUAAUUAACGUUAACCUUCCGCUCUGUAGAAACCACAUAAUUUCAACUCAUUAAUCAUUUUUUAGCGGAAAGGCAGUAAUCAAUGAUGGCGAUUUAAACUGUACUCCUUAUAGUAUUGAUAUUCCCCAUGCACCGGUAUGUUCUCGUACAUCCGUGAAACUUCUGAGUCAAAAUGUUAUAUCCUUAUGUAUACAGUUCAUCAUUGGUUGUUACAGAAUUUCCCAGUGGGCACAACCUCAACCCACACCUCCCACCAGGAUCUUCUCUCUGCCGGAGCCAUCCUACCUGCAGCCAGCUCCCCCUCGUACGCCCUGAUCUCCACCUUGUGUGCUGGUCCAUUCAUCAUAGCUAGAAGGUAAUGACUAAUGAGCAUGUCAUCUCUGCCCCUCUCAAUUUCAUCCUUGUGUUGUUUAUUUUUCAGAGAAUGUGGUAUUAUGUAGCCCCUCUCUGUUGAUGAAUUGAAUGUAUAGAUUAUAUACUAGCAAAAGAGCCCGUGCGUUGCAACGGGAUAAUAAAACCGACGAAUUGUACUCGUGUGACUUGAGCUUUGGUUGGUUUCACACGCUUAUACUUCUUAGUUUUCUUGUAAAAUAAUAUGGCGGUAUUUAUACUAUUCAGGGUUGGUUAUCCAUCCGUCAGGUUAUUCAGGGCGUAAAUUUACGGAAAGAAGCAUAUUGUGACGGUGAAUGCGACGGAGUCAAUCCGUGCUUUAUUAUUUGGAAAAGAGAAAUAUGCCUAUGCAUUGCUACGGCUCUAGAAUAAACCUAUACAUGGUCAAAAUACAGGACAGCAACAUGUCUUCUUUUAGUUUUUUUCAAACCAUUAGAAAUAUGUUAGAUUUUACUUAAGUUUAGUUCCCUUAUUCCACCAUAAAGCAUUCCGGUUGAAAAGGAGAUGGCGUCUGUCAUUUACUUUCUAGAAAAACAUAGAGUCGAUAAACUUUCCUGUAUCUUCAGCCAUAGGUCCUUUACUCAUAUUUAAAAAAUUGUAAUAUUUAAUCCAAGCAAAAUUAUAUGAAUUACAGGAAAAAUUGUACUCAUGUGACUUGAGCUUUGGUUGGUUUCACACGCUCAUACUUCUUAGUUUUUUUGUAAAAUAAUACGGCGGUAUUUAUACUAUUCAGGGUUGGUUAUCCAUCCGUCAGGUUAUUCUUGAAGCUAGCUAGUAAUCACCAUGAGUUCAGUUGGCGUUCCAAGUAAUCACCAAGCCAAUCGACCGUGAGCAUCCGGACGUUAGCUGCGAAUGACAGACGGCUGGAUGGGCUAAUGAAGAUUAAACCUCAAUUUUGUACGCGGUAGUGCUGCAGACCUUCUGCAGUGAGACUUCGAUCAGAAGGACUUACCAGACAGGGGCACGGAGGAUUUAGAUAUCCUACUGCAGCUGCCGCUGCUCACCAAGGAGUUGCUCCCGUGCCGCUCGAAGGUCGCCAGCUCGGGGCAGAGCAGGAGCUUAAAGGCCAUGGACACGCCAGACCUGAAGGACGGCAGUGGCAAGGGUGGCGCAGGUGGGCGACGUUGCUCGCGCUCGGGGCGGACGCCGGCGGCGCUCGAUCUUGCCUAGAGCACGGAGGGGACAGGGGAGCAGGGGAAGAGGUAGGCAGUAAACCAGAUAGGAAUGGCACAUGUAUCGCAUCUGCCCUCGGCGGAGCUCCGCUCUGUCGUCAACAUCCGCGACGGACCCCACGAAGCCCAUCAUGUCGGCGUCCUUGAGGAACCGCCCCUGCUUGCCGCGGCCGACCGCAAUUUCGGAGAAAUUGGAGAUGGGGGAUCGUCCGCGGUUCGGCAACGGGUACGGGGAGGAGUCCGGGGCAAAGACUGUUCCGCUCGACCGGCCGGAGGAGCGCAGCCGCUCCGGUGGCCAGAGAUCGAGGGGGUGGCGGCGGUGUCCAACCCCCAACAGGCUGUGUUCUUUUUCUGACGGGACGAAAAAGGGGAAUCCCUUCUCUGGAACCGCUGUCGUUGCUCGACUGUGCUCCAAGCCGCCGCCGCCACCGCCGUCGCCUGAUUGCUCUCUCCCCGUCAACCCCCCCUCUCUCUCGAUCCAGCGACGCGUGUUUAGAUCGAAGCCCCCUGAAUUCCACGACCGAUCUGAUUCUAUCGAUCGAGGCAGCUCUGUUUCGAUUUGUAUAUGUACUUUUUAGGAGGAGUGUCCCGUGUUUGUUUCUGAUAGCCAUCUAUUUGUUUUAUGCUCAACAGGCCCAUUAGCCCUUGAUCUGGCCCAGGGAGUCUAGCGACCCAGGGAGUCUAGCGGGGAAGAGAGCGGGUGCGACCGAUUGGAUGCACACGACGUGGUUGGCCAUCUGAAUUAGUACCACCUUGAAUAUAUUUUAAAAUUAAAAUUGAAAACGUAAAAUCACGGAAAGAAGCGCAUUGUGACGGUGAAUCCGGAGACCCAAUCCAUGCUUUAUUAUUAGGGAGAGAUUACUAAAGAAAUCCGCCUUAAAAGGCGUUCCACUAAAAACGCAGUAGGAUCCUAUUUCAAGUUCCUUGCACUUAAACCGCAAAAGGGAAAGGCAAUUUUCCUAACUUUUCCCGUUAACGCAGAGCAGUCAGAUGAAUAACAGUAGGAUUGUUCAGUUUGUAUGCUCGUCCACUACUUCGGUUUAUUCAGGUUGCAUGAUACAGUAAUUUUGCAAAUGUGUCAGACUAUCUAUUUAGAUUAGCUAAUAGAAUUUAUUUCCACUAUGUGUUGUGCGGAGGAUAGAUCAGCAGGACUAAACAAUAUGUGUCUAACACCAUUUGCACAAUUCCCUUAAACUGCCCGCAGUAGCUGACCAAGUACCACCAAUGUUGUCAUCAGUCUUGAAGGGGAUUCAAAACCCGGUAGGAUCGCACACCGUAUGGCUUGGACAUCGGAAGAAGAUGCAAGAUUGGUAAUGAGAUUACUUGCCUCAGUGCUCAAUUUAUGAUCCUAUUCAUUUGAACUGAUUUACUUGUUUGUCUCAGCUAAUCUAUCCUCAAACGCAGACAACCAUUUGGUCGAAAACCUCAAAUGUUUCCAUCGAGAUAAUAACAAGAAGAACAUCAAGUACUGGGAUGACAUUGUUGUUACAACAAUAGUAAUAGGCCAAGUCACCGGAAGGGAGAUGCUCGUCGUGUAUGAUGGACAUGGUGGCUCGGAGGUGAGGUUAUCUUCUCUUGAAAAUCUUGACCUAGACAAAAGAAAUUAACCUUGAGGCCAUGGGAAGCAGGAAAGCGAAGGUCACGAAUGGCCGCACAAUUUGGUGGUGUUUGUGUGUUGUGCGGUCAAGCCUUUCUACGGGCUCCAUGGUGAUGCAGCAGCAUCACCUUCUUACGGAGAUGAGAUGAUGGGAUGAGGCCGCAUGGUGUUACCUAUUGUUGUUGUGUUAGCUUUGCUGUGUAUGUGUGCGUGUGAGAGAGAUCAGCGGCUGAUUGGGGAUGGUUAUGUUGUUGCUAGAUUAUAAAACAUGUCGUUUAAGUGAAUAUCAACUGUCGGAAAGAAAGCAAUGGUACUGUGAUUCUACUGUUUUAUGCUAGACGUUAAAGAAUACUACUUGCAAGCAGUUAGCGACGAACUGAGGGUUUGCAAGUAGUACUUUUUCCCAGUUGUGCUUCUACUUGCCUGAAUUUAAGUAGGAGAAAUUACCAGUUGUGUUUUUUUGAAAUAAUCUUGAUUUAACUAUGAUUUUCAGAAACUGGUACAGCUUUAACACGGUUCCUUGCUCACUGUGGUACAUUAAAACAAUAAAUUGAGGAGUUUAGAGCCUGCCUAGAGACCUCACAUAGCACCGCCUCAUUUGGCAGCGACAUCAUGAUGAUCUUGUCUGGUCUACUCCAAGUCUCCGCUUGUGGUUUGUGUUGGAAAUAUGAGCAAUUUACCGAAUGAUUUUAUUAACAAAAAUACUAGAUAAAGCAUGACUAAAAUAGGAAAUAUAAAGAAAGUCAUGCAGUCUGACAGAGAGAAGGUAAACAUCGUCUGCAUAAAUGAACUUGAGCUAAACACAUCUAGAACAGACAAUAGAUGAAGUUGCUCAUACGAAACAGAACCUAACAUACGUAGGGCAGAAACUAGAGCCAAGAACUGUAGCAGGACUUCUAACAGAAAGGAGAAGAACACGUACGGCAUAGCAGCAGCAGAAGAGCUGGACUUGGGGUCAGUGUCCUCGCCUGCCAUGUCGUCGAGGAGGUCGUGGACGUCGGGGAAGAAGUCGUCGUCGGGGAAGUAGUCGUCGGCGACCGGAUCGUCUGUGAUGAAGCAGCCAGUAGUCGCGCUGAGCGCUUCCCAAAAACCUUAUCACCCUUCUCCCGUACAUGACUCAAAAGGUGCGGUCUCUGAGGCCUACUGUCCCAACAUGCGGUGCACGCCGCAAGUCGGGAUGAGGAAGACAGCAGCAGCUCAGAGAUGGAACCGAUGGCGAGGGAAGGAGCAGUUCUGGUGCGUAUCUCUGAAAGGAGCGACCUCCCUUUUAUAGGCGCAAGAGAAGGAGGCGAGAGGCUGCGCCGGGAGCUGAAGGGAAUGUGGGAGACGAAACGAACAAGCAGCAGCUGAAGGGGCGCGCCGUUCGGAUUCAGUGUCCAGGCACAGAAAAAAACUGUUUCAGCUUCCGAGUGACCUUUCGUAUACACGUAGUGCGUGGCAAAACUUUAGACAUCGGCUCAUUCCCGCAACCCGCGGCGUGACGAGGCGGGCGGCGGAGGAGGAGCGCGCGUGGAUGUCCCUCUUGUUCUCAUGCUCAUACAAGUGGGGAAGGAGUCUCCCUUAUAAAGAGGUCCAACUCCCUCUAAACUAGCAAGGUGGGACUAAACUUUAGUUCCACCUCUUACCUUGCAUGAAUGGGCUGCGUGGGCCUCUAGGAUUUAUUAGGAAUUUCUGAAACUGCUAUUGGGCUAGGCCCAAAUAGACAAAAAUUCCAGCAGUUUGUGUUCUUUAGGUCUAUGGAAAACACCACGGUGCAUGCCAUUGUCCGUCAUUUCGGGAAAAAUGACCUAGAACAUGCAGAUAACUAAAUUUGGUGAAAGAACUGAAGAAAUCUACUACAUCACAAUAUGAAUUAAAAACAAACAAAAAAUUGGGCAGGACCUCUACAUAAAAAUGGACAGUUAUAGAAAUUUAGCGAAACGGAAAUAAAUCAACGGUUUGCCAAAAAUUUAACGCUUAUAGUAUGAAUCCCAAUAAGGAAAUGAAGACAUCUACUACAUCACAAUAUGAAUAAAACAUAAACAAAGAAAUUUGGCAUGACCUCUGCAUAAAAAUGGACAUAUUAAGUGAUUGAGAUCUGGCGAAACAGAAAUAAAUCAACGUAUCGCCAAAACUUUAGCACUUAUAGUAAGUAUACCUAUAAUGAAUUGAAGACAUCUACUACAACAUAUUAUUUAACUCAGUAUGAACAGAAAUAAUGUACGGAAUAAUACAAUAUAUAUGUGAGACUAUAUAAUUACCUCUAAUAUGAACAAAUUGGUAUUCCUUGUUCAUGGUUACGUAUGUGGCUGCUGCAACUAUAAUUGUUUUGAUGUGUGUGCCUUAAAAACUAUAGAACAAGAAACUACAACUAUAAAUGAACUCUAGUAUGAACAAAUCGAACUCAUUAACGAAUAUGAACACAUUAAUAGCAAUAACCCUAACCCUAGUCGAACGUACGUGUGCGUGUGCGUGGCGGCCGUGGCCGUGGGUGACAAGGAGGAAAGCCGGAGAGGGAGGCGCGGACGACAAUGUAUUACUGGAUGGAGCGGAGGGUGACGGGGCGGAUCGUCGGUGAGGGCGACGGGGCGGCGAAUCGAGGGCGAGGGAGACGCGCGGUGAACGGCUAGGGCGGCGACGAGUAAGCGGUGCUGAUGGCGGCAGCGGACAGGGACGACGACUUGGGUAGCAUGGAUGAGCCAACGGCGUCCGCGACGAGAUGGGGAAGAGUGGGAGUGAGAGAGUAAAUUGGGGUAGGAGGAGAGGGGGCACGUGCGUGUACGUAGGUCGAUUGAGUUUGUCGUAUGCGACCGGUGUGCCAAGCCUCCCAACACGGCUUCUUUGGGGUGGUGGGCGGAAAACCGAUUCGAUUUGGGGCAGAAUAGACAGCUAACUUAGUUGUGGCGGGUAGGGGCCCAUACCCGCCAGAGCUAAUAUCUGUAUAAAAUUUAUUUUUCUGGCGUGCAUUGCUGGCACUAAACUGUGGCCGGCCCAAUCGAGCGUCCGCCACUUUUGCAUUCAAGAACAAUGGCGGCCGAGGCUAACACCCGCCACUGAUCGCAUUCAUCAGGUGGCCAUACUCAGUGGUGCUUACUUGUGGCGGGUGGUGUUCUCCACCCGCCACUGCUACGCAUGUAACUCUGGAGGUCAUGUUGUGGCACCUGCCACUGGUACUUUUGCUAACUAGCAGUGGCAGGUGCUAUGUCCCGCCCGCCAAUCUUUCGAAUUCACCUAUAAGCCCUUUCCCAGUAGAGUAAUAAAGGACUUCUUGACAAGUCCGUGUAGAUUAAAGGUAUGUUAGUAGAUGGUGUAAUAAAUACAUGCUUUAGUGAUCUAAGGAUACAAAUAUGCCACUAUUUAUUUUGUAAAAGGUCGAAAUCAUUCUUAGAAAUCUUAGUAACAACAGUUCUCAUGAACAACUUUGACAAAAUGCAUCAAAUGUUACAAAUAAUACAUACAAACUUAGUUCAAUAAAUUAAUCAAUUGAAGUGAGAACAAACCUAAAUGUACUUAGAGUAAAUCAAUUAAUACGUGUAAAGCCAAUACUAAUCCAAUAUUUAUUAAUAAAUUUGCAUAGAAUUACAACCCUUUGACAUAGAAAGGGAAUAUGAUGAGUCAUGUAUAGAUAACUUGCACAACAUUCCUACCCUUGGCAUAAAAGGAGAAAUUGAUGAGUCAUGUAUUGAUAAUGUGCACAACAUCACUACCCUUGACAUAAAAGGAGAAUUUGAUGAGUCAUGUGUUGAUAACGUGUACAACAUUACUAUCAGUAUGUUCAACUUACCAUCAUAUUAUACAACACUACAAGUUAGUUUUAAAAAGAACAAGAGUCCAGAACGAAGAUCAGAAUACUUGCUUGAUCUAUCUUAACAACAUGCACUAGGACAAAAAUUUAGUCCCACGCAAGCUAUGAAGAUUUGUUUUAUGUAUAACUAUUUGUACAACAUGACAAACUUAGAUCCAAAAGGAAUGCAAUCCAGAUAAUUGUUUGACAUGUAAAGUGAAUAAGAUGAGUCAAUGCCAAUUAUCAAGUUUUCCUCACUCUUAGAUGAUAUGUACAAUAAAAAGACAACUUUGAUGAUCACUCUGAAAUUACGUUUGUAUGUAGUGCCACCAAACACAACAUCCCAAAUAUUAGUUUGAUAAGCAUCAAAUCACUUUUGAAAAAAGAAAGCAAUAAUGAAAAGAAACCUAACCAAGAUAGCUAUAAAAAGGCCUGCAAUAUGUAGACUCCAUACCAUCAUCCAUCCUUCACACACCUAGAGCACAAAUCAGCAAAUCCAAGUACGUAGUAGUUAACGCAAAUCGACCAUGAAGACCUUACUCAUCCUGACGAUCCUUGCGAUGGCAAUAACCAUCAGCACCGCCAAUAUGCAGGUCGACCCUAGUGGCCAAGUACAAUGGCCACAACAACAACUAGUCCCCCAACCCCAACAGCCAUUAUCCCAGCAACCGCAACAAGCAUUUCCCCAACCCCAACAAACAUUUCCCCAUCAACCACAACAACAAGUUCCCCAGCCUCAGCAACCACAACAACCAUUUCUCCAGCCCCAACAAGCAUUCCCCCAACAACCACAACAACCAUUCCCUCAGACUCAACAACCACAACAACCAUUUCCCCAGCAACCACAACAACCAUUUCCCCAGCAAUCACAACAACCAUUCCCCCAGACUCAACAACCACAACAACCAUUUCCCCAGCAACCACAACAACCAUUCCCCCAGACUCAACAACCACAACAACCAUUUCCCCAGUUCCAGCAACCACACCAACCUUUUCCCCAGCCCCAACAACAAUUCCCGCAGCCCCAACAACCGCAACAAUCAUUCCCCCAGCAACAACGACCGUUCAUUCAGCCAUCUCUACAACAACGUUUGAACCCAUGCAAGAAUAUCCUCUUGCAACAAUGCAAACCUGCGUCAUUGGUGUCAUCCCUCUGGUCGAUAAUCUGGCCACAAAGCGAUUGCCAAGUGAUGCAGCAACAAUGCUGCCAAGAACUAGCACAGAUUCCUCAGCAGCUCCAGUGCGCAGCCAUCCAUAGCGUCGUGCAUUCCAUCAUCGUGCAGCAGCAGCAACAACAACAACAACAACAACAACAACAACAAGGCAUGCAUAUCCUGCUGCCACUAUCUCAACAACAACAGUUGGGUCAAGGUACUCUCGUCCAAGGCCAGGGCAUCAUCCAACCUCAGCAACUAGCUCAAUUGGAGGCGAUCAGGUCAUUGGUGUUGCAAACUCUUCCAACCAUGUGCAACGUGUAUGUCCCACCUGAGUGCUCCAUCAUCAGGGCACCAUUUGCCAGCAUCAGGGCAUCAUCAGGGCACCAUUUGCCAGCAUAGUCGCGGGGAUUGGUGGCCAAUGAAAAAAGCAAGAUCUAUACUAAUAGAUAGAUGGAUCAUCGUUACUUAGCAGAUGCACCAAUCGAUGUAACGAUGACAAAUAAAGUGGCGUGCACCAUCAUGUGUGACCCCGACCAGUGCUAGUUCAAGCUUGGGAAUAAAAGACAAACAGAGUUCUUGUUUGCCAGCAUUGCUUGUCAUUGUUCCAUUCACCAUGUAUUUAGAUGUUCAUCCCUAACCGCAGUUCUAGGCUUACACAUCAACAGCUAGUUGCUUGUGCCGGCAGGUUCCUAUGUAAUCUACCGAUUAAUGGUUGACCUAUUAAUCCAGUUUAUAGGCCGAUUGAUCUAUUAAUUGCUGCUCCCAAACUGACCGACCAGCUAUCAGUUACCAUUUUGCUGAACAUUGCACACAGUAAUAACUCAACGUAUUUUAAUGUCUAGAAGUAAAAGGGCCAUUUUAGCAGCAAAACAAGCGCCUGAUUAGGAACCAUCCAUCACUUUAAAUGUUCACCAAGAUAUUUUUGCGUUGGUGCAAUUUUGAGAUUGGUGGCACCGAAACAUUCCUCAAAGCAAUUCUUUAUGGGACUCCAAAGAGGUGAAAAUAAAGUAAAGUUGCCACAUGGUAAAAUAUAAAUCAUGCGGCGAGCAAGAGAAAAUAUUGAGUUACGAUAGCAAGCGCCAAACAUGCCAUUAAACUCUUCAUAUGGUUUCGUGCAGAGAGGGGGGAUUUAGAGAUGACAAACAAAGCUUAAGUAGCAUCGGUUCUGAUUGUAGAAAUUUCUUUUACCUAUAGAAUAACUCGGUUGUUAUUUCUUUAACAAUGUAGUGUGAUAUUAACUUAUCUCAAUCUAGGAACACAAAGCAAAUAUUACAUGUGCUUCUAUGGAUUCCAAGCAGAUGAGAAAUCAUAUUGUGUAGAAGUUCAUUAGAAGGAUAUAAUAGUUUUGACCUAAACAAAUUUACUAUUGUACUCGUGUCUUAGAAAAUUAAAGCUGAAAAUCAACAUAACCAUUGGACACUUCGAAAGACAAGUGUGGGAAAUAAAUAGUAGGAUGUAAAUUUGAGUAGAGUGUUUGAUCAAAUAUUGAACAAAUAACCCACAAACUACUAAAACUCAUCUAUUAAUUCUACCAUAUAUGAACUGUCACAAUGAUAAAGCUAUGAUUUUUUUGACAAAUAUGUAUCCUAGAACUAAUACAAGUUCAAACAAAUCAGCCACAGAUCCCCGAGCCCAUCCAACCAGAUAGCUGAAACUGAAAGAAGCAUUAGCUUGAUUAGAGCACCUACAGCCUAACUUGACAAAUUUGACCCCAGAAACGCUCGCGGACGCGCCCGGUAGUAACCGGUCACGCCUAAAAUAUUUCAUUCUACAACCAGAUACCUCAAAUUAGAAACCUCAAAUCCAUAUUAUUACAUGCAACAUAAAUCGAUCUUUAAGCAGAGCACGUCCGGUGAUCGAAUGCUCUCCGGAGUGUUGGUCCAGUCACCGGCAAGUUAGAGUAGGGCAUGGGAUACGAGGCGGGUCACGGGACUCGAGGCGCCACCGUCCCCCAUUCCCAACUCUUCUCCAUCGGAACCAGGACGGUGCCGGUGGACGUCAGAUCGAUGAUGGAUCCUUCCUGGGAUGAGCCAUCAACAUCGACCACCACGUGGUUGCGGUGCCCGGACUAGUGCACAAUAUGGGGAGCCGAAAAAUACGACUUUGCCUUCGCAACGACCACCACCGCGAGGGCUGUCGCCGCCUCCCGCACCCGCUGCCUUGCAUGGCAGGAGCGCCGAACUAUGUUUUGCGUCGGGCGGUGCCCAUGGUGUGUCCAUGGCCUCAGCACGCCAAUGGAGGGGCUGUGCGUCUGCCACCCAUUUGAACGCUAGAUGGACCGCACCACCUCUGGUGAGGCAGUGAUGGUACACCUAGCGCCGGAUCCAUGCAUCAUUUGGGCGGACGCAUUGGAUUCCCCGCGGAAGGAGUUCGAGCAUUGCCGUUGCCAUCGGGCAGCCUCCUCCUGAGACCGGCGGAGCGCAAGCUCGAUUGCCAUCUCCUCCUAGGAGCCGCGUGGGAUGAGUUCGGGGUCGACGGAUCUGGAGGUAUAACACUGGGAUCCGCCGCCUGCCAUGCCGAAGAAGGCCAUAAGAUCGUCGGACGGGGGCGGCAGGGAGUGAAGUGAAGUGGCUAGGGUUUGGUCCGGCAAGCGGAUGGGGAGGAAUAUAUGUGGGGUCGGGUGGGCCAGCGUGGAUCGGGACCGACAUGGCGGACGCGCGUGGGCGCCCCAUAUUCUUCCCAGAUUUCGGCUGGAUAUGAGGGGUGUUGGUCAGCUUGGGCGUUGAGGCCCGUCUAGGUCAUUUUUCUGUGACCUGGCCGUCCGCCGGGGUGUUUGAAGUGGGUUUGGGACACCCGGGUGUAAAUGCUCUUAGACCAUGUAGUACCUUGAGGAGGAUGGUGUGGGUCCAUGAAAGAACUACAGCCUUUCCAUUAUGUUCGGGCGCAGGGCGAUAACGAAGUUAUCUUUACUCCUACAAGGGGAGUUGUUAGUCUCCGUUCCAUGGGUUUUUUUGUCUCACCUCCCAUCUUCGUUUCAUUUUUUCCGUCUCUCUUUCACACCGUCGGGUGGAGCUUAUGUGUCAUACUCCGUGACCUUUCAUUAGUUUUCUAGAGAGAAUCCUACUCUCAUAGAUUGCGACGUUUAACAAUCAGACUCAUAUAGGUGUGUUCUUCAAAAGAUGUUCUGCAGGACAACAUCUCUCCUUCAAAAAGCCACUUAGAACACAUUAAGAUAUACAUCAACCUACCAUGCAGAUUAGGAGAGUAUUGCAUCUUCAUGGAGUGGUAUUUUAACAAUAAGGAUACACUACUAGGGAAAAGGCUAGCAGCAGCGCGGGUUUUUGGUGUAUCAGUAGCGCGGGGUGGGGCGCUACUAAUAAGGCGCUACAGCUAACAUAUAGCAGUAGCGCGUGGUCACCGGCGCUACUGCUACACAAGUGUAGCAGCAGCGCGGUUACUGGGAGCACGCUACUGCUAGUAGCUCUAGCGCCCUUUGCAGCAACGCGCUACUGCUAUAGAGGCGCUGCUGCUAACUUCUAUACACUCGCUACUGCUAAUUUAACAGGUUUUUUGUUUUUUUGGGCAUAUUUGUUUUGUAUUUGAACAGGCUUUAUAGAAGAAUCUUUAGCACAUAGAAAUGUCAUCAUGAUACACAUACAAAUGCCUGCGAGACCACGAAUAUAAUCAUAGCAUAUACAUACAAAUAGUCUCAUCAUAAUCAUCAUCCAACACAAAGUGGUCUCUCGUCAUCAUCUCGAAAAUAGCGAUACAAGUCCUUGAUUACUUGCAAAUACAUUGUCAUCCAUCUAAACAAUGGUAUACGCGAGAAGAGCUAUCACUUUGAGAACAUGAGUUCGUAUCCCUCUCUCGCAUUAGCGUGAACCUAAACUAACUACUGCCUGUCGCUCGGAAACCGGAAACCGGCAACACCUGGGUCUGACACUCCGGUCACUCAUCGUAUAUAUACUCCUGGCGUAGCACUUCUUCGCCAUCGAUGAUCUAUGCACCUGCAUCAUCACAUGAGUAGAUGAUAUGCAACAUAUAUAGUUGAGCAACAGAAAGAGACAGACUUGACAAAAAUAGAAACAACGUAUCAUAAGCAUAAAUAACAAAGUUCAUCAUAACCAAAAUGCCCUAACUAGAGUGAUCUUCGCUAGUCGAGGAGGAGGACGGUUUAAUUACAUCACAAAUAAAGUUUUACUGCGCAUAACUCAAAGUUUUGUCAUACAGAAAGUAUGGAGUAAACAGACACAUUGUCAUAUAUUGACAAUCACUCCAACAUGCCGUGCCAUCCAUCGAGGUCAGGGAGAUAGUCCCCGAGCUUAGUGAAAGGCUUCAUGUCGAGACGCUGAGAGGCUAUCCAUGUUCGGACGUCUUCCCACAACAUUUUUCCUCCGUAGAACAUCCCUGUUUUUCCGACGACCUCUUUCAUGAUGAUUUGGGCAAGUUCGCGUUGGAUGUUAUAGAACUCAGCUCGAAGUCGAUGAUCCUCGAUAUCUCCUAUGUCCUUUGCCCAUUGCAGAAUAUGGGCAUCGCCAGAUCUAGGUGACAUGUGAAGGUUCUGGUGAUCCCGUUUGUACUCCCGCAUGUGGUGUAGGACAUAGAAUCCACCAUUAAGAGAAUCGUUCGGUUGUUGGAUGCAGCAGAAGUCGGUCUUAUGGCUGAAGGCGGCCCUGCCGCCCCUUCUCUUCUUGUCCCUAACCUCUCCACCCCUUGCUUGGUAGUAAAACAUAGCACUGUCGAGAACAUCUUUGAUGUGGGUGUAAUCCUUUUUGUGAAUGUUAUUCGAUGAGUCCAAGUAAAGAGCAUGGGAGAAUCGGGGGUAGAGGAUGAUGAGGACGGCGCGCCCGCCGCUGCGCAAAAUAAGUACACCUCAAAUUAAUUAGCCUUCACCGUGCAAAUGAAUUAUUGAAAUCGAAGGAAGGAUAGCAGCGCGGAUGACUUACACGGGAUGAUAAGGCACGAGAAUCGCCUCCUUGUCCUUAUUGGCGAGCAUGAAACUAACGAUGUAAUUCCUCGCGUAUUCACGCUGCUCUGCACAGACUCCCAAGAAGCUCUCGUGCAUGUAGUACGGGUCAGUGACACAGAUAUGACGUAUCUGCUCAACCCCAAUGAUGUAGUUCAUGUGCAAGGCAUAAAGGCGGACAAAUGUAAAAUCCAGCUUCUUCACGUGAAACAUGUCGAAUAUGUAAUCGAAUCGGAGGAAGAACUUAUCCGCAGCGAAGCUGUCGACGUAUGACAUUUUCCGCGGAACGUUAUCCACGUAGAGUGGGUAUCCUGGAUCUUUCGAGGCAAUGAGGCAUUUCUCUACCCGUAGCACAUCAUCAUGAAGUCUCCUUAGAUCGCCGAAUCUGGCCCGUAGCGCUGUUGCAGGUAGGAUUGGUUGACCGGGGAUAUGCCAUUUAUCCGCAUCGGGGAUAUCUAGACGGUCCUGAAGCUGAGGCUGCUGAGGCGGCUGGAUCAUAGAAUCAACUUUUUUUCCUUUCCUCGCUCUCUUCCUAGACUUCUUUACUACCGGAAAGUCGUCAAUAACACAUUGAGACGGUAAUUCAGGCACCGACUCAUGAUGCUCAAACCCUGAGGAGGCGCCAGUAUAGACAUACUGUUCAGCGCCAUCGUCAUCCUCAUCCUCAUCCAUGGCGACGUCAUCAGCGACUAAUGGAGCCUCCUCCUUACCCCGUCCGCUAUCACCCAACCCGACACCCAACGCUAAUUGGGUAGGUGGGGUGUUGAUGUUCAUACCUUGCUGAGACUGCGUGCUCGUGGGUGUGCUCCCGGCCGCCUCCAGACGAAGCAGACUCUUUGGCCACAACAGGACCUACCCAUUGCAACAAUCACCAAGCCGCUGCGGUGUCUCCUCGUCAUCCACCAAUAGUGUUGGAGGAGGCAAAUUCUCGUGGCCCGGUUCGACACUGGCCAUGGAAACCUUGAAGACGUUUGGGGGAAUCGGCCGGCUGUGGAACAAUGGUUCCUUCGGCUUCAUUAUCGUCGCCUUCCCCAUGGCCACCUUCUGGUCCCCGAUGGUGUACAAUAUGGUGCGCGGGGUUUCGUCGGCCUGCAAAGAGAAGUCUGCGACGUGAGACAUUCGAAAGGCAACGAAAACGGGAGAUUAUACAUUUAUAUUGAAGGGGGCCGGUGUGACAGAUACCGUGAGGGCGUCGAGCUCAGCCAAAGACAAAGCACCGCCGAGCACGUCCGGUGCGGGAGCCGGUGCGGGAGCAGGUGCUCCCAAGAAGUCAGCAAGGGGAAAGUCCUCUGCAUUUUUUUCUGGAUUUUUCCUUGUCCAAGUGAUAACGCCCGUCACCAAGGAAGUAGACAAAUCUGCAACCGCCUGUUUUGCGGCAGCUACCGCUGUUGCGACUGUCUGAGAUGAUUUCUUCUCAACCGCAAUCUCAACCUUCUUGUCGAUGUUUUUUUCAGUUAACCUCCGUCUUUCCUUUCUCUCCUCUGUGGUCUCCCGGUAGUACUUCUUCCACGUGGCGCCGUCUCCGACACCGUGCACGCGUCCAUACGAUGGUCGAGUAUCCAUCGGUUGUCGUUUCAAUAUGUUCAACGUCCGGUUGAAUGGAGUGUCCCACUUGGGCCUCGCCAAUGCCUCAGACGGCGAGUCGUUUUCGACCGCAAUCCGGUGCUGCUCUCUCUGCAAAAGGCACAAGGAUCGUUUACAAAUAUGACUAACGUGUGCAGUCGAAUUGAUCAGAAACUAAAAUUACCAGCAGUCUCAUGAACUCCGUAAUGACCGGUGUUGUCUCAUAAACCUUCUUCACUGGGUCCCAACGGUGCCGAGCCCUCAGGACGUCACGCUCCUGCGGGACAGUGAAAUCCGCCAAGGGGUCUGGGAUGCCCAGACUCGCGGCUUCCGCGUCCUCCUUGGCCCAUUUGGACCUCUUUCCGCCGUAACCACGCUUCCGAGGUGGUGGCUCCCAAUGUUCCUCUUUUGAAGCCCCUUCAUGUACUUAGACUUUUUUUGGCAGCUUCGGCCUCGCAAGCCUCCUUGAAUAUUUGAAACUGCUCUUCCGUGAUUGUCAGAUUAUCCUUUACAAUCUCGGAGUAGGGUUCCCCGUCGUUGAUCUUUGCUUUCACUCAAUUUUUCCAGGCGGCCAACGCGUCGCUAAACUUGGUCAUGGCGUGUUUGUUUAUCUUCUUCAUUGCGGGGUCCUCGUCUGGAUCUUCAUAAUCCUUCUCAUUCCGGCCCGGGAACAAGAAUAUCUGGUGAAACUUCUUUAGAAGGGAGCUCCUCAUAUUUUCUAUCUUCUAUAGUUUCUCAUCAUUGAUGGUGGCGGUUGUCCGUAUGAUGCAGCCUAUUUGAUUGCCGUAGCACGCGCGCGCUUCCUCGGGCGCCUUUGGCUCAAAAUUGCCGUCGUCCACCUCUGUGACCACCAGUCUAGUAGUCCUGAGUUUGUUAGGAACCCGUUGCUUCUUUGCGUUCGGUUCUACACCAGCUCCGCUCCCCGAGACAGCACCGGUCUCAGCGCCGCUCUCGAUGCCGGUCUGAAUCUCAGCGCCGGUCUCAGUCUCAGCACCGGUCUGCGUGUCGGUCUCAGUCCCCGAUGCCACUGGUGGGCCCAGCAACAACAUCGGUUGAUCGUCGGUAAGGCUAAAAUAUUCAUCUGCCACCAGGUAGACGUCGUCGCAAUCACCAGAACCCUGUCCUUCAUCGUUGCUAGCCAUGUUUCCUAUCAUUAAAUCUAGUCAAUUAAUUCUAGACCUAAUAAAAUGAAUAAUGACAUAAAAAAGGACUAUUGUUUUGCAGGAAUGUUGACUCCUUCCUGGUGCGGAAAAUCCCGGCACUCGAUAUGUCCUAGUUUGUAGCACAAGUCAUGCCGAAAUUCACGGAAAAUUUUGGCAUGGCCUUUGCUAAAAAGUGGACAAAUCGAGAACCUGAAAUUUGUCGGAACAGAAAUGAAUCAACAUUCCGGCAAAACAUAGGCCACUCAGCAUCAUUCCCUGGAAACAACAAAGCCACUUGGGCACAAUCGAACAACUUCAAUGAAAAGAUAUAACAUGAGCAAACACUAUUGAGGAAUUUGCAUAUAACAUGGCCACUUCAAUGAAAAGAUAUAAUCAACAAUAACGGAAUAUGCAAAUGAACAUCAAUGACAUAUAGCUACUGUUCUGUUUGACCAAGUUUUUGAAAAGAAAAACAAUUCUGUUUUUUGUUUAUAGCUAAAUGCCAUAGCUACUAUUUUUUAUUUAUAGCUAAAUACUUUUGUUUUUUGUCUAAAGCUAAAAGUCUAGGAACUACAUUUUCUCUAACCCUUUUGACCUCACCAGAAUUUUCACAGCAAGACCUUAGUACCUACACCCAAUUUCUUCAAAAAUAUUCAGGUCCAUAGUCCAAAUAAUUCAAAUUUCAUUUGAAUGAAAUUUGGAACAAAUUCAGGUCCGUAGUCAAAAUAUUUUUUUAUAGCUAAGUGUUUUUUGUUUAUACCCUCUGUUAAUUUAAAUCUAAAUGCUACUAUUAUUUAUAUACCCUCUAUUAGUUUAAAGCUAAAUGGAAUUACUGUUUAGGAAUUUUCAUAAAAAUUGCCCUAGCUAAUUUCCUAAAAAAAUUGCAAAUCAUUUUUCCUAAAUGCUAUAAAAUGCCUACUGCCCUAAAAAAAUCUAGGGUUCAUAUGAACACCUAGGGUUCAUAUGAACAUCAACACAGUAUCAACAUAUAUAUAUAUAAUUGCCCUAGCAGAGAGAAAUAGGAGGGUAGGGACAGGAGAGGCAUAGCCUUACGGUCGGCGUUGAGGGCAGGCUCUGGCUCGGGCAGCGGCGGUGAGGUCAAGGGCGGCGGCGGCGAGCUCGAGGGAGGCGACAGUGAGGUCGACGGUGACAGCCUCGGGUGGCGGCUGUGAGGUCGAGGGGGCGGCCUCGGGCGGCGGCCUCGGGCGGCGGCAGUGUGGUCAAAGGCGGCGGGCGGCGGCGGUGUGGUCGAAGGCGGCCUCCGGCGGUGGCGGUGUGGUCGAAGGCGCGCGGCAGGGCAACGGCGGCGAUGAAGCAGUUGGGGGACAGGGGGGAGUAGAGAGGGGGGAAAGGACUUAGCAAAAUUUUGAGCCAGGGCCGCCGGGAUUUGAGUCAAACUAGCAGCAGCGCGUUUUGACGAAACGCGCUAUAGCUAAGAUAGCUAUAGCGUGUUCCAGAGAAAUGCGCUACAGCUAACCCUUUCUGUUUUCUUUCUCUUUUUAUUUUGUUUUCUUUACAUUUUCUUUUUUUCAUUUCUCCUUUUUCUAUUUCUUUCAUUUUCAUUUACUUUUCUACUUAAUUUUCUAUUUAUUUUCCUUUACAUAGCAGUAGCGCUGUAAAGAAGAAACGCGCUGCUACAAUGUUUUUAACAGUAGCGUGCUUCUGGGAGAAGCGCUGCUACUAUUCCUAGCCUACCGGCACCAGUGAGAGAAUUUUAGUAGUAGCGCUUUUUUGUGGAGAAGCGCUACUACUAAAAUAAUGAUUGUAGCGUGGUUUUGCAACAAGCGCUACUACUAAGUAGCGCUAGCGCCGAGUUUUGACCAACGCUACUGCUAUACCUCUGUGUAUAGCAUUUUCCCUAGUAGUGAUACUCUCCUCUCAGUUGACCAACAGCUUGUCUUCCACAUCUAAUUCACGGGAUCUCCGAUCACAAAGAAUGGGUUACCACUGUGGACACCUCAUAUUGUGGGUCUCAUUCCCAUCUCCAUCGAUGCAUUAUCUAUCACAUUACGUGAUAGACCCUUAGUAAAAGGAUCUGCCAGAUUUUUAGACGUUUGGAUAUAAUCCAAUGCAAUAACUCUCGAGUUUUUCAUUUUUCUGACAGACUUUAACCUUCUCUGAACGUGUCUUGAUGACUUCAUGUUAUCCUUUGAGCUGCUCACUUUAGUGAUCACAGUUUGAUUGUCACAGUUCAUCCGGAUACCCGGUACAGGUUUCUCAACUACCGGUAAGUCAUUCAAGAGCCGACGAAGCCAAUCUGCUUCGACCGUAGUUGUAUCUAGUGCUGUGAGUUCUGCUUCCAUUGUUGACCUCGUUAAAAUGGUCUGCUUGCAAGACUUCCAAGAAACAGCGCCACCUCCAUGAGUGAAUACAUAACCGCUCGUGGCCUUUAUCUCAUCAACAUCUGAGAUCCAGUCUGAGUCAAUAUACCCUUCAAGCACCUUUGGAUGCCUAGUGUAGUGAAUUCCAUAAUUUGCAGUGCUUUCAAAUAACGCAAAACUCUCUCUAGAGCUUUCCAAUGCACAUCUCCUGGUUUUGAGACAAACCGGCUCAGUUAGCUAACAGCAAAAGAGAUGUCAGGUCUCGUAGCACUGGCUAAGUACAUAAGCGAGCCAAUAAUGUGUGAAUAUUCCAAUUGGUCUCUAGCAAUUCUUCGAUUCUUUCGAAGCAACACACUAGCAUCAUAUGGUCUUGGAGAGGGCUUGCAGUCACUGUAGCCAAAGCGACUCAAGAUCUUUUCCCCAUAGUGAGACGGAAGCAAUGUAAUCCCACCAUCAUCAUCUCUCAACAACUUGAUGUUCAGAAUGACGUCAGCCACUCCUAAAUCCUUCUUCUCAAAACAGCGAGAUAGGAAAUCCUUGACCUCCUUAAGAACAUUUAGAUUUGUUCCGAAAAUCAGUAUGUCAUCAACAUACAAGCAAAGCAUAACUCCCUCGCCCCCACCAUGGCGAUAGUACACACAUUUGUUAGCUUCGUUCACAACAAAGCCUGCAGCUGUUAAAGUUCUUUCGAACUUCUCAUGCCACUGUUUGGGUGCUUGCUUGAGUCCAUACAAAGACUUCAGCAACUUGCACACUUUCCCUUCCUAACCAUCUAUUACAAACCCAUCUGGUUGUUCCAUAUAAAUUUCCUCAUCCAACUCUCCAUUUAGGAAAGCAGUCUUAACAUCCAUUUGAUGAACGAGAAGACCAUGUGAGGCAGCUAGUGAAAGUUUAACUCGAAUAGUGGUCAGUCGAGCCACAGGUGAGUAAGUAUCAAAGAAGUCUUCACCUUCCUUUUAGGUAUAACCCUUUGCCACGAGCUGAGCCUUGUACUUUUCAAUAGUACCAUCAGGCCUAAGUUUCUUCUUGAAUACCCAUUUGCAUCCUAUAGGUUUGCACCAUAAGGACGAUCAGUUAUCUCCCAAGUUUCAUCCGCCAAGAUGGAAUCCAUCUCGCUACGAACCGCUUCCUUCCAGUAGUCAGCAUCUUCCGAUGCAUAGGCCUCCAAAAUAGAACUGGGAGUGUCAUCUAUGAGAUACACAAGAAAAUCAUCACCCAAGGACUUUGCUGUCCUCUGUCUCUUACUCCUAGUAGGAACUUCAUUGUUCUCCUCCACAGGCCUUUCAAAGUGUUCCAUCGAAAUGGCAGGUUCAGUAAUUGUAACUGGUUCCUGAUUCGAUGAACUAGGCAUCUCCUGAUUAGAUGAGGUAGCCAUAUCCUUCAUGGGAAAGAUAUCUUCAAAGAAAGUCGCAUCAUUCGACUCCAUGAUCGUACUGACAUGCAUGUCAGAUACCUCAGAUUUUACAACCAAGAAUAUAUAGCCAAUGCUAUGAAAAGCAUAUCCCAGGAAAACACAAUCCACAGUCUUUGGUCCAAGCUUCCGCUUCUUUGGAAUUGGAACAUUGACUUUCGCCAAGCAACCCCAUGUUCGCAGAUAAGAGAGUCUUAACCUUUUCUUCUCCCAUUCCUCGAAUGGAGUUAUCUCUUUGUUCUUUGUGGGAACUCGAUUUAGGACAUGACAUGCUGUCAAUAUCGUCUCCCCCCACCAUGCCUUGGAGAGACCCGAUGUGCAUAACAUGGCGUUAACGAAAUCAGUUAGAGUACGGUUCUUUCUUUCGGCCACCCCAUUUGACUGAGGUGAGUAGGGAGGCGUCCUCUCAUGGAUUAUACCAUGUUCCGCACAAAAAGCAUCAAAUUCAUUGGAAAAAUACUCUCCACCACGGUCAGACCUAAGCCUCUUGAUUUUUCGAUCAAGUUGGUUUUCCACUUCAGCUUUAUAGAUCUUGAAAAAGUUCAAAGCCUCAUCCUUAGAUUUCAGAAGAUACACAUGGCAGUAUCUAGUGGAGUCGUCAAUUAACGUCAUGAAAUAUUUCUUUCCACCUUUUGUCAAAACACCAUUCAUUUCACAUAGAUCUGAAUGUAUAAGUUCUAGUGGUGCAAGAUUUCUCGUCUCCGCAGUCACGUGAGACUUACGAGGUUGCUUAGCUUGCACACACACUUGACACUUAGAUCCUUGACAGUGGUGAAACUAGGGAUUAAGUUCAACUUCGCUAGUCGCGACAUGCAACCAAAGUUAACAUGACAAAGACGUGAAUGCCACACAUUUGAUUCACUAUUGUUGCAAAUAUGAUUAACAACUUUAUUGCAAAUGUCUGAUAAGGAUAAACGAAACAGGCCUCCUGACUCAUAGCCUUUACCAACAAAGGUCCCAUACUUGGAUAUUACAAAUUUAUUCGACUCAAAGACAAGCUUAUAGCCAUCUCUACACAGAAGAGAUCCGCUAACAAGAUUUUUAUUGACGGAGGGGACAUAAUGCACGUUCUUCAGCCGCACGAUCUUCCCUGAAGUAAACUUCAGAUCAACCAUGCCAACACCACGAACAGAAGCACUUGAACUGUUGCCCAUCAGCACGGUUGAAGUCCCUGCGGUCUGAUAAGAUGAAAACAUGGAAAUAUCACCGUAUACAUGCACAUUAGCACCCAUGUCAAUCAACCAACCAGGAGAAUGACAUACUGAAAGAAUAGUGGGAAAUAUACCAUACCCAACAUCUUUCAUGUCAAUGUCUCCGAUGACAACAUUAGCGGUCUUGCCGCCUUUCCCAGGAUGACGCUUGUCAUAGCGAUUAGGACAACUAGGAGCCCAAUGAUCAGGAUCUCCAAACACAUGACAAGCACCUUUCUUAUUGUCAUUCUUCUUCUUGAAGUUCAUGUGCUGCACAGCCUUGUUCUUCCCAUCGAACUUUGCUUUACCAUCAAACUUGCCCUUGUUCUUGAACUUGUGGGACUGGAAGUUCUUCUUCUGUACCAGAUUGGCACUAGAUCCUCCCUCAAUACCUCGAGCACAUGUGUCCUUUGCUCUCGCCUUUUCUUCCACAUAAGAGUACCAAUGAGAUCCGGGAUGGAAAACUCCUGUCUCUUAUGCUUCAGUGAGGUAGCAAAGUUCCUCCAUGAAGGAGGAAGCUUAGUGAUGAUACCCCCGGCAACAAACUUGUCCGGUAAGAUACAAUUGAAGUGCUCAAGUUCUCUAGCAAAAGACUGUAUCUCAUGAGCCUGCUCAACCACGGAGCGCUCUUCAGUCAUCCUGUAAUCAUAGAAUUAUUCCAUGAUGUACAGCUCAGUGCCGGCAUCCGAGACCCCAAACUUGGCCUCGAGUGUGUCCCACAUAUCUUUUCAUUGUCAAUUGACGCAUAAGCAUCAACUAUGUUCUCACCAAGAACACUCAAAAGAGCAGCCUUAAACAAGGUAUCCAUUUUCUGGAAAGCUUGUGCCUGUUGGGCAUCUUGCUCUCCUUCGGGUUUGCCAAGAGUGGCAUCAUAGAAACUCAUGGUUUGAAACCAUAAGACUGCUCUCACACGCCACUUCUUAUAGUGGAUACCCUCAAACAUAGGAGGUCUCAUGGAAGCAGCAAAAUCACUCGGGGUAAAUUGCCUAUAAUAAGGUUUUUGGAUUGUUGGAAAUAUGAGCAAUUUACCGAAUGAUUUUAUUAACAAAAAUACUAGAUAAAGCAUGACUAAAAUAGCAAAUAUAAAGCAAGUCAUGCAGUCUGACAGAGAGAAGGUAAACAUCGUCUGCAUAUAUGAACUUGAGCUAAACACAGCUAGAACAGACACUAGAUGAAGUUGCUUAUACGAAACAGAACCUAACAUACGUAGGGCAGAAACUAGAGCCAAGAACUAUAGCAGGACUUCUAACAGAAAGGAGAAGAACACGUACGGCACAGCAGCAGCAGAAGCGCUGGACUUGGGGUUGGUGUCCUUGCCUGCCAUGUCAUCGAGGAGGUCAUGGACGUCAGGGAAGAAGUCGUCGUCGGGGAAGUAGUCGUUGGCGACCGGAUCGUCUGUGAUGAAGCAGCCAGUAGUCGCACUAAGUGCUCCCCAAAAACCUUAUCACCCUUCUCCCGUACAGGACUCAAAAGGUGCGGUCGCGAAAGCCUACUGUCCCGACGUGCGGUGCACGCCACAAGUCGGGAUGAGGAAGACAGCAGCAGCUCAGAGAUGGAACCGAUGGCGAGGGAAGGAGCAGUUCUGGUGCGUCUCUCUGAGAGGAGCGACCUCCCUUUUAUAGGCGCAAGAGAAGGAGGCGAGAGGCUGCGCCGGGAGCUGAAGGGAAUGCGGGAGACGAAACAAACAGGCAGCAGCCGAAGGGGCGCGCCGUUCGGAUUCAGUGUCCAGGCACAGAAAAAAAAUGUUUCAGCUUCCGAGUGACCUUUCGUAUACCCGUAGUGCGUGGCAAAAAUUUAGACAUCGGCUCGGCUCAUUCCCGCAACCCGCGGCGCGGCGCAUCGUGAUGAGGCGUGGUGAGGCGGGCGGCGGAGGAGGAGCACGCGUGGAUGUCCCUCUUGUUCUCAUGCUCAUACAAGUGGGGAAGGAGCCUCCCUUAUAAAGAGGUCCAACUCCCUCUAAACUAGCAAGGUGGGACUAAACUUUAGUUCCACCUCUUGCCUUGCACGAAUGGGCUGCGUGGGCCUCUAGGAUUUAUUAGGAAUUUCUAAAAUUGCUAUUGGGCUAGGCCCAAAUAGACAAAAAUUCCAGCAAUCCCCCACCAGAUCCCAGAGGCACACAAAAUUUGCCUUUGGUUCCAAAACACUGUUUUAUAUACUGGUACAGCAGUGGAGACUGUUAAGUUGAACUUCCACCUAGAACCCUAUGCUACACUAGUAAGCAACUUGAACAGUGGACUGGGCCUUGAACUGCAAGUUUUCUGCAAAUCUAGCUUCACAUAAGGCCUUGACCGAUACGUGGCUACCGUGGGUCUUCCCCGUGGGUGGAGCUUAUGCGUCAUACUCCGUGACCUUUCAUUAGUUUACUAGAGAGAACCCUACUCUCAUAGAUUGCGACGUUUAACAAUCAGACUCAUAUAGGUGCGUUCUUCAAAAGAUGUUCUGCAGGACAACAUCUCUGCUUCAAAAAGCCACUUAGAACACAUUAAGAUAUAAAUCAACCUGCCAUGCAGAUUAGGAGAGUAUUGCAUCUUCAUGGAGUGGUAUUUUAACAGUAUGGAUACUCUCCUCUCAGUUGACCAACAACUUGUCUUCCACAUCUAAUUCACGGGAUCUCCGAUCAUAAAGAAUAGGUUACCACUAUGAACAACUCAUAUUGUGGGUCUCAUUCCCAUCUCCCUCGAUGCAUUAUCUAUCACAUUACGUGAUAGACCGUUAGUAAAAGGAUCUGCCAGAUUUUUAGACGUUUGGAUAGAAUCCAAUGCAAUAACUCUGGAGUUUUUCAUUUUUCUGACAGACUUUAACCUUCUCUGAACGUGUCUUGAUGACUUCAUGUUAUCCUUUGAGUUGCUCACUUUAGUGAUCACAGUUUGAUUGUCACAGUUCAUCCGGAUACCCGGUAUAGGUUUCUCAACUACCGGUAAGUCAUUCAAGAGCCGACGAAGCCAAUCUGCUUCGACCGUACCUGUAUCUAGUGUUGUGAGUUCUGCUUCCAUUGUUGACCUCGUUAAGAUGGUCUGCUUGCAAGACUUCCAAGAAACAGCGCCACCUCCAUGAGUGAAUACAUAACCGCUCGUGGCCUUUAUCUCAUCAGCAUCUGAGAUCCAGUUUGAGUCACUAUACCCUUCAAGCACCUUUGGAUGCCAAGUGUAGUGAAUUCCAUAAUUUGCAGUGCCUUUUAAAUAACGCAAAACUCUCUCUAGAGCUUUCCAAUGCACAUCUCCUGGUUUUGAGACAAACCGGCUUAGUUAGCUAACAGCAAAAGAGAUGUCAGGUCUCGUAGCACUGGCUAAGUACAUAAGCGAGCCAAUAAUCUGUGAAUAUUUCAAUUGGUCUCUAGUGAUUCUUCGAUUCUUUCGAAGCAACACACUAGCAUCAUAUGGUGUUGGAGAGGGCUUGCAGUCACUGUAGCCAAAGCGGCUCAAGAUCUUUUCCACAUAGUGAGAUUGAAGCAAUGUAAUCCCACAAUCAUCAUCUCUCAAAAACUUGAUGUUCAGAAUGACAUCAGCCACUCCUAAAUCCUUCAUCUCAAAACAGCAAGAUAGGAAAUCCUUGACCUCCUUAAGAACAUUCAGAUCUGUUCCGAAAAUCAGUAUGUCAUCAACAUACAAGCAAAGCAUAACUCCCUUGCCCCCACCAUGGCGAUAGUACACACAUUUGUCAGCUUCGUUCACAACAAAGCCUGCAGCUAUUAAAGUUCUUUCGAACUUCUCAUGCCACUGUUUGGGUGCUUGCUUGAGUCCAUACAAAGACUUCAGCAACUUGCACACUUUCCCUUCCUGGCCAUCUAUUACAAACCCCUCUGGUUGUUCCAUAUAAAUUUCCUCAUCCAAAUCUCCAUUUAGGAAAGCAGUCUUAACAUCCAUUUGAUGAACGAGAAGACCAUGUGAGGCAGCUAGUGAAAGUAGACCUCGAAUAGUGGUCAGUCGAGCCACAGGUGAGUAAGUAUCAAAGAAGUCUUCACCUUCCUUUUGGUUAUAACCCUUUGCCACGAGCCGAGCCUUGUACUUUUCAUUAGUACCAUCAGGCCUAAGUUUCUUCUUGAAUACCCAUUUGCAUCCUAUAGGUUUGCACCCAUAAGGACGAUCAGUUAUCUCCCAAGUUUCAUUCGCCAAGAUGGAAUCCAUCUCGCUACGAAUCGCUUCCUUCCAGUAGUCAGCAUCUUCCGAUGCAUAGGCAUCCGAAAUAGAACUGGGAGUGUCAUCUAUGAGAUACACAAGAAAAUCAUCACCAAAGGACUUUGCUGUCCUCUGUCUCUUGCUCCUAGUAGGAACUUCAUUGUUCUCCUCCGCAGGACUUUCAAAGUGUUCCAUCGAAAUGGCAGGUUCAGUAAUUGUAACUGGUUCCUGAUUCGAUGAACUAGGCAUCUCCUAAUUAGAUGAGGUAGCCAUAUCCUUCAUGGGAAUGAUAUCUUCAAAGAAAGUCGCAUCAUUCGACUCCAUGAUCGUACCGACAUGCAUGUCAGAUACCUCAGAUUUUACAACCAAGAAUCUAUAGCCAAUGCUGUGAAAAGCAUAUCCCAGGAAAACACAAUCCACAGUCUUUGGUCCAAGCUUCCGCUUCUUUGGAAUUGGAACAUUGACUUUCGCCAAGCAACCGCAUGUUCGCAGAUAAGAGAGUUUUAACCUUUUCUUCUCCCAUUCCUCGAAUGGAGUUAUCUCUUUGUUCUUUGUGGGGACUCGAUUUAGGACAUGACAUGCUGUCAAUAUCGCCUCCCCCCACCAUGCCUUGGAGAGACCCGAUGUGGCGUUAACCAAAUCAGUUAGAGUACGGUUCUUUCUUUCGGCCACCCCAUUUGACUGAGGUGAGUAGGGAGGCGUCCCCUCAUGGAUUAUACCAUGUUCUGCACAAAAAGCAUCAAAUUCAUUGGAAAAAUACUCUCCACCACGGUCAGACCUAAGCCUCUUGAUUUUUCGAUCAAGUUGGUUUUCCACUUCAGCUUUAUAGAUCUUGAAAAAGUUCAAAGCCUCAUCCUUACAUUUCAGAAGAUACACAUGGCAGUAUCUAGUGGAGUCAUUAAUUAACGUCAUGCAAUAUUUCUUUCCACCUUUUGUCAAAACACCAUUCAUUUCACAUAGAUCUGAAUGUAUAAGUUCUAGUGGUGCAAGAUUUCUCGUCUCCGUAGUCACGUGAGACUUACGAGGUUGCUUAGCUUGCACACACACUUGACACUUAGAUCCUUGACAGUGGUGAAACUAGGGAUUAAGUUCAACUUCGCUAGUCGCGACAUGCAACCAAAGUUAACAUGACAAAGACGUGAAUGCCACACAUUUGAUUCACUAUUGUUGCAAAUAUGAUUAACAACUUUAUUGCAAACGUCUGAUAAGGAUAAACGAAACAGGCCUCCUGACUCAUAGCCUUUACCAACAAAGGUCCCAUACUUGGAUAUUACAAAUUUAUUCGACUCAAAGACAAGCUUAUAGCCAUCUCUACACAGAAGAGAUCCGCUAACAAGAUUUUUAUUGACGGAGGGGACAUAAUGCACGUUCUUCAGCCGCACGAUCUUCCCUGAAGUAAACUUCAGAUCAACCAUGCCAACACCACGAACAGAAGCACUUGAACUGUUGCCCAUCAGCACGGUUGAAGUCCCUGCGGUCUGAUAAGAUGAAAACAUGGAAAUAUCACCGCAUACAUGCACAUUAGCACCCAUGUCAAUCAACCAACCAGGAGAAUGACAUACUGAAAGAAUAGUGGGAAAUAUACCAUACCCAGCAUCUUUCAUGUCAAUGUCUCCGAUGACAACAUUAGCGGUCUUGCCGCCUUUCCCAGGAUGACGCUUGUCAUAGCGAUUAGGACAACUAGGAGCCCAAUGAUCAGGAUCUCCAAACACAUGACAAGCACCUUUCUUAUUGUCAUUCUUCUUCUUGAAGUUCAUGUGCUGCACAGCCUUGUUCUUCCCAUCGAACUUUGCUUUACCAUCAAACUUGCCCUUGUUCUUGAACUUGUGGGACUGGAAGUUCUUCUUCUGUACCAGAUUGGCACUAGAUCCUCCCUCAAUACCUCGAGCACGUGUGUCCUUUGCUCUCGCCUUUUCUUCCACAUAAGAGUACCAAUGAGAUCCGGGAUGGAAAACUCCUGUCUCUUAUGCUUCAGUAAGGUAGCAAAGUUCCUCCAUGAAGGAGGAAGCUUAGUGAUGAUACCCCCGGCAACAAACUUGUCCGGUAAGAUACAAUUGAAGUGCUCAAGUUCUCUAGCAAAAGACUGUAUCUCAUGAGCCUGCUCAACCACGGAGCGCUCUUCAGUCAUCCUGUAAUCAUAGAAUUAUUCCAUGAUGUACAGCUCAGUGCCGGCAUCCGAGACCCCAAACUUGGCCUCGAGUGUGUCCCACAUAUCUUUUCAUUGUCAAUUGAAGCAUAAGCAUCAACUAUGUUCUCACCAAGAACACUCAAAAGAGCAGCCUUAAACAAGGUAUCCAUUUUCUGGAAAGCUUGUGCCUGUUGGGCAUCUUGCUCUCCUUCAGGUUUGCCAAGAGUGGCAUCAUAGAAACUCAUGGUUUGAAACCAUAAGACUGCUCUCACACGCCACUUCUUAUAGUGGAUACCCUCAAACAUAGGAGGUCUCAUGGAAGCAGCAAAAUCACUCGGGGUAAAUUGCCUAUAAUAAGGUUUUUGGAUUGUUGGAAAUAUGAGCAAUUUACCGAAUGAUUUUAUUAACAAAAAUACUAGAUAAAGCAUGACUAAAAUAGCAAAUAUAAAGCAAGUCAUGUAGUCUGACAGAGAGAAGGUAAACAUCGUCUGCAUAUAUGAACUUGAGCUAAACACAGCUAGAACAGACACUAGAUGAAGUUGCUUAUACGAAACAGAACCUAACAUACGUAGGGCAGAAACUAGAGCCAAGAACUAUAGCAGGACUUCUAACAGAAAGGAGAAGAACACGUACGGCACAGCAGCAGCAGAAGCGCUGGACUUGGGGUUGGUGUCCUCGCCUGCCAUGUCAUCGAGGAGGUCAUGGACGUCAGGGAAGAAGUCGUCGUCGGGGAAGUAGUCGUCGGCGACCGGAUCGUCUGUGAUGAAGCAGCCAGUAGUCGCACUAAGCGCUCCCCAAAAACCUUAUCACCCUUCUCCCGUACAGGACUCAAAAGGGGCGGUCGCGAAAGCCUACUGUCCCGACGUGCGGUGCACGCCACAAGUCGGGAUGAGGAAGACAGCAGCAGCUCAGAGAUGGAACCGAUGGCGAGGGAAGGAGCAGUUCUGGUGCGUCUCUCUGAGAGGAGCGACCUCCCUUUUAUAGGCGCAAGAGAAGGAGGCGAGAGGCUGCGCCGGGAGCUGAAGGGAAUGCGGGAGACGAAACGAACAGGCAGCAGCCGAAGGGGCGCGCCGUUCGGAUUCAGUGUCCAGGCACAGAAAAAAAAUGUUUCAGCUUCCGAGUGACCUUUCGUAUACCCGUAGUGCGUGGCAAAAAUUUAGACAUCGGCUCGGCUCAUUCCCGCAACCCGCGGCGCGGCGCAUCGUGAUGAGGCGUGGUGAGGCGGGCGGCGGAGGAGGAGCACGCGUGGAUGUCCCUCUUGUUCUCAUGCUCAUACAAGUGGGGAAGGAGCCUCCCUUAUAAAGAGGUCCAACUCCCUCUAAACUAGCAAGGUGGGACUAAACUUUAGUUCCACCUCUUGCCUUGCACGAAUGGGCUGCGUGGGCCUCUAGGAUUUAUUAGGAAUUUCUAAAAUUGCUAUUGGGCUAGGCCCAAAUAGACAAAAAUUCCAGCAAUCCCCCACCAGAUCCCAGAGGCACACAAAAUUUGCCUUUGGUUCCAAAACACUGUUUUAUAUACUGGUACAGCAGUGGAGACUGUUAAGUUGAACUUCCACCUAGAACCCUAUGCUACACUAGUAAGCAACUUGAACAGUGGACUGGGCCUUGAACUGCAAGUUUUCUGCAAAUCUAGCUUCACAUAAGGCCUUGACCGAUACGUGGCUACCGUGGGUCUUCCCCGUGGGUGGAGCUUAUGCGUCAUACUCCGUGACCUUUCAUUAGUUUACUAGAGAGAACCCUACUCUCAUAGAUUGCGACGUUUAACAAUCAGACUCAUAUAGGUGCGUUCUUCAAAAGAUGUUCUGCAGGACAACAUCUCUGCUUCAAAAAGCCACUUAGAACACAUUAAGAUAUAAAUCAACCUGCCAUGCAGAUUAGGAGAGUAUUGCAUCUUCAUGGAGUGGUAUUUUAACAGUAUGGAUACUCUCCUCUCAGUUGACCAACAACUUGUCUUCCACAUCUAAUUCACGGGAUCUCCGAUCAUAAAGAAUAGGUUACCACUAUGAACAACUCAUAUUGUGGGUCUCAUUCCCAUCUCCCUCGAUGCAUUAUCUAUCACAUUACGUGAUAGACCCUUAGUAAAAGGAUCUGCCAGAUUUUUAGACGUUUGGAUAUAAUCCAAUGCAAUAACUCUGGAGUUUUUCAUUUUUCUGACAGACUUUAACCUUCUCUGAACGUGUCUUGAUGACUUCAUGUUAUCCUUUGAGUUGCUCACUUUAGUGAUCACAGUUUGAUUGUCACAGUUCAUCCGGAUACCCGGUACAGGUUUCUCAACUACCGGUAAGUCAUUCAAGAGCCGACGAAGCCAAUCUGCUUCGACCGUACCUGUAUCUAGUGUUGUGAGUUCUGCUUCCAUUGUUGACCUCAUUAAGAUGGUCUGCUUGCAAGACUUCCAAGAAACAGCGCCACCUCCAUGAGUGAAUACAUAACCGCUCGUGGCCUUUAUCUCAUCAGCAUCUGAGAUCCAGUUUGAGUCACUAUACCCUUCAAGCACCUUUGGAUGCCAAGUGUAGUGAAUUCCAUAAUUUGCAGUGCCUUUUAAAUAACGCAAAACUCUCUCUAGAGCUUUCCAAUGCACAUCUCCUGGUUUUGAGACAAACCGGCUUAGUUAGCUAAUAGCAAAAGAGAUGUCAGGUCUCGUAGCACUGGCUAAGUACAUAAGCGAGCCAAUAAUCUGUGAAUAUUUCAAUUGGUCUCUAGUGAUUCUUCGAUUCUUUCGAAGCAACACACUAGCAUCAUAUGGUCUUGGAGAGGGCUUGCAGUCACUGUAGCCAAAGCGGCUCAAGAUCUUUUCCACAUAGUGAGAUUGAAGCAAUGUAAUCCCACCAUCAUCAUCUCUCAACAACUUGAUGUUCAGAAUGACAUCAGCCACUCCUAAAUCCUUCAUCUCAAAACAGCAAGAUAGGAAAUCCUUGACCUCCUUAAGAACAUUCAGAUUUGUUCCGAAAAUCAGUAUGUCAUCAACAUACAAGCAAAGCAUAACUCCCUUGCCCCCACCAUGGCGAUAGUACACACAUUUGUCAGCUUCGUUCACAACAAAGCCUGCAGCUAUUAAAGUUCUUUCGAACUUCUCAUGCCACUGUUUGGGUGCUUGCUUGAGUCCAUACAAAGACUUCAGCAACUUGCACACUUUCCCUUCCUGGCCAUCUAUUACAAACCCCUCUGGUUGUUCCAUAUAAAUUUCCUCAUCCAAAUCUCCAUUUAGGAAAGCAGUCUUAACAUCCAUUUGAUGAACGAGAAGACCAUGUGAGGCAGCUAGUGAAAGUAGACCUCGAAUAGUGGUCAGUCGAGCCACAGGUGAGUAAGUAUCAAAGAAAUCUUCACCUUCCUUUUGGUUAUAACCCUUUGCCACGAGCCGAGCCUUGUACUUUUCAUUAGUACCAUCAGGCCUAAGUUUCUUCUUGAAUACCCAUUUGCAUCCUAUAGGUUUGCACCCAUAAGGACGAUCAGUUAUCUCCCAAGUUUCAUUCGCCAAGAUGGAAUCCAUCUCGCUACGAAUCGCUUCCUUCCAGUAGUCAGCAUCUUCCGAUGCAUAGGCAUCCGAAAUAGAACUGGGAGUGUCAUCUAUGAGAUACACAAGAAAAUCAUCACCAAAGGACUUUGCUGUCCUCUGUCUCUUGCUCCUAGUAGGAACUUCAUUGUUCUCCUCCGCAGGACUUUCAAAGUGUUCCAUCGAAAUGGCAGGUUCAGUAAUUGUAACUGGUUCCUGAUUCGAUGAACUAGGCAUCUCCUAAUUAGAUGAGGUAGCCAUAUCCUUCAUGGGAAUGAUAUCUUCAAAGAAAGUCGCAUCAUUCGACUCCAUGAUCGUACCGACAUGCAUGUCAGAUACCUCAGAUUUUACAACCAAGAAUCUAUAGCCAAUGCUGUGAAAAGCAUAUCCCAGGAAAACACAAUCCACAGUCUUUGGUCCAAGCUUCCGCUUCUUUGGAAUUGGAACAUUGACUUUCGCCAAGCAACCCCAUGUUCGCAGAUAAGAGAGUUUUAACCUUUUCUUCUCCCAUUCCUCGAAUGGAGUUAUCUCUUUGUUCUUUGUGGGGACUCGAUUUAGGACAUGACAUGCUGUCAAUAUCGCCUCCCCCCACCAUGCCUUGGAGAGACCCGAUGUGGCGUUAACCAAAUCAGUUAGAGUACGGUUCUUUCUUUCGGCCACCCCAUUUGACUGAGGUGAGUAGGGAGGCGUCCUCUCAUGGAUUAUACCAUGUUCUGCACAAAAAGCAUCAAAUUCAUUGGAAAAAUACUCUCCACCACAGUCAGACCUAAGCCUCUUGAUUUUUCGAUCAAGUUGGUUUUCCACUUCAGCUUUAUAGAUCUUGAAAAAGUUCAAAGCCUCAUCCUUACAUUUCAGAAGAUACACAUGGCAGUAUCUAGUGGAGUCAUUAAUUAACGUCAUGCAAUAUUUCUUUCCACCUUUUGUCAAAACACCAUUCAUUUCACAUAGAUCUGAAUGUAUAAGUUCUAGUGGUGCAAGAUUUCUCGUCUCCGCAGUCACGUGAGACUUACGAGGUUGCUUAGCUUGCACACACACUUGACACUUAGAUCCUUGACAGUGGUGAAACCAGGGAUUAAGUUCAACUUCGCUAGUCGCGACAUGCAACCAAAGUUAACAUGACAAAGACGUGAAUGCCACACAUUUGAUUCACUAUUGUUGCAAAUAUGAUUAACAACUUUAUUGCAAACGUCUGAUAAGGAUAAACGAAACAGGCCUCCUGACUCAUAGCCUUUACCAACAAAGGUCCCAUACUUGGAUAUUACAAAUUUAUUCGACUCAAAGACAAGCUUAUAGCCAUCUCUACACAGAAGAGAUCCGCUAACAAGAUUUUUAUUGACGGAGGGGACAUAAUGCAUGUUCUUCAGCCGCACGAUCUUCCCUGAAGUAAACUUCAGAUCAACCAUGCCAACACCACGAACAGAAGCACUUGAACUGUUGCCCAUCAGCACGGUUGAAGUCCCUGCGGUCUGAUAAGAUGAAAACAUGGAAAUAUCACCGCAUACAUGCACAUUAGCACCCAUGUCAAUCAACCAACCAGGAGAAUGACAUACUGAAAGAAUAGUGGGAAAUAUACCAUACCCAGCAUCUUUCAUGUCAAUGUGUCCGAUGACAACAUUAGCGGUCUUGCCGCCUUUCCCAGGAUGACGCUUGUCAUAGCGAUUAGGACAACUAGGAGCCCAAUGAUCAGGAUCUCCAAACACAUGACAAGCACCUUUCUUCUUGUCAUUCUUCUUCUUGAAGUUCAUGUGCUGCACAGCCUUGUUCUUCCCAUCGAACUUUGCUUUACCAUCAAACUUGCCCUUGUUCUUGAACUUGUGGGACUGAAAGUUCUUCUUCUGUACCAGAUUGGCACUAGAUCCUCCCUCAAUACCUCGGGCACGUGUGUCCUUUGCUCUCGCCUUUUCUUCCACAUAAGAGUACCAAUGAGAUCCGGGACGGAAAACUCCUGUCUCUUAUGCUUCAGUAAGGUAGCAAAGUUCCUCCAUGAAGGAGGAAGCUUAGUGAUGAUACCCCCGGCAACAAACUUGUCCGGUAAGAUACAAUUGAAGUUCUCAAGUUCUCUAGCAAAAGACUGUAUCUCAUGAGCCUGCUCAACCAUGGAGCGCUCUUCAGUCAUCCUGUAAUCAUAGAAUUAUUCCAUGAUGUACAGCUCAGUGCCGGCAUCCGAGACCCCAAACUUGGCCUCGAGUGUGUCCCACAUAUCUUUUCAUUGUCAAUUGACGCAUAAGCAUCAACUAUGUUCUCACCAAGAACACUCAAAAGAGCAGCCUUAAACAAGGUAUCCAUUUUCUGGAAAUCUUGUGCCUGUUGGGCAUCUUGCUCUCCUUCAGGUUUGCCAAGAGUGGCGUCAUAGAAACUCAUGGUUUGAAACCAUAAGACUGCUCUCACACGCCACCUCUUAUAGUGAAUACCCUCAAACAUAGGAGGUCUCAUGGAAGCAGCAAAAUCACUCAGGGUAAAUUGCCUAUAAUAAGGUUUUUGGAUUGUUGGAAAUAUGAGCAAUUUACCGAAUGAUUUUAUUAACAAAAAUACUAGAUAAAGCAUGACUAAAAUAGCAAAUAUAAAGCAAGUCAUGCAGUCUGAGAGAUAGAAGGUAAACAUCGUCUGCAUAUAUGAACUUGAGCUAAACACAUCUAGAACAGACACUAGAUGAAGUUGCUUAUACGAAACAGAACCUAACAUACGUAGGGCAAAAUCUAGAGCCAAGAACUGUAGCAGGACUUCUAACAGAAAGGAGAAGAACACGUACGGCACAGCAGCAGCAGAAGCGCUGGACUUGGGUUGCUGUCCUCGCCUGCCAUGUCAUCGAGGAGGUCAUGGACGUCAGGGAAGAAGUCGUCGUCGGCGGGGAAGUAGUCGUCGGCGACCGGAUCGUCUGUGAUGAAGCAGCCAGUAGUCGCACUGAGCACUCCCCAAAAACCUUAUCACCCUUCUCUCGUACAAGACUCAAAAGGUGCGGUCGCGAAAGCCUACUGUCCCGACGUGCGGUGCACGCCGCAAGUCGGGAUGAGGAAGACAGCAGCAGCUCAGAGAUGGAACCGAUGGCGAGGGAAGGAGCAGUUCUGGUGCGUCUCUCUGAGAGGAGCGACCUCCCUUUUAUAGGCGCAAGAGAAGGAGGCGAGAGGCUGCGCCGAGAGCUGAAGGGAAUGCGGGAGACGAAACGAACAGGCAGCAGCCGAAGGGGCGCACCAUUCGGAUUCAGUGUCCAGGCACAGAAAAAAAAUGUUUCAGCUUUCGAGUGACCUUUCGUAUACCCGUAGUGCGUGGCAAAAAUUUAGACAUCGGCUCGGCUCAUUCCCGCAACCCGCGGCGCGGCGCAUCGUGACGAGGCGUGGUGAGGCAGGCGGCGGAGGAGGAGCGCACGUGGAUGUCCCUCUUGUUCUCAUGCUCAUACAAGUGGGGAAGGAGCCUCCCUUAUAAAGAGGUCCAACUCCCUCUAAACUAGCAAGGUGGGACUAAACUUUAGUUCCACCUCUUGCCUUGCACGAAUGGGCUGCAUGGGCCUCUAGGAUUUAUUAGGAAUUUCUAAAAUUGCUAUUGGGCUAGGCCCAAAUAGACAAAAAUUCCAGCAAUCCCCCACCAGAUCCCAGAGGCACAAAAAAUUUGCCUUUGGUUCCAAAACACUGUUUUAUAUACUGGUACAGCAGUGGAGACUGUUAAGUUGAACUUCCACCUAGAACCCUAUGCUACACUAGUAAGCAACUUGAACAGUGGACUGGGCCUUGAACUGCAAGUUUUCUGCAAAUCUAGCUUCACAUAAAGCCUUGACCGAUACGUGGCUACCGUGGGUCUUCCCCGCGGGUGGAGCUUAUGCGUCAUACUCCAUGACCUUUCAUUAGUUUACUAGAGAGAACCCUACUCUCAUAGAUUGCGACGUUUAACAAUCAGACUCAUAUAGGUGCGUUCUUCAAAAGAUGUUCUGCAGGACAACAUCUCUGCUUCAAAAAGCCACUUAGAACACAUUAAGAUAUAAAUCAACCUGCCAUGCAGAUUAGGAGAGUAUUGCAUCUUCAUGGAGUGGUAUUUUAACAGUAUGGAUACUCUCCUCUCAGUUGACUAACAGCUUGUCUUCCACAUCUAAUUCACGGGAUCUCCGAUCAUAAAGAAUAGAUUACCACUGUGAACAACUCAUAUUGUGGGUCUCAUUCCCAUCUCCCUCGAUGCAUUAUCUAUCACAUUACGUGAUAGACCCUUAGUAAAAGGAUCUGCCAGAUUUUUAGACGUUUGGAUAUGAUCCAAUGCAAUAACUCUGGAGUUUUUCAUUUUUCUGACAGACUAACCUUCUCUGAACGUGUCUUGAUGACUUCAUGUUAUCCUUUGAGUUGCUCACUUUAGUGAUCACAGUUUGAUUGUCACAGUUCAUCCGGAUACCCGAUACAGGUUUCUCAACUACCGGUAAGUCAUUCAAGAGCAGACGAAGCCAAUCCGCUUCAACCGUACAUGUAUCUAGUGUUGUGAGUUCUACUUCCAUUGUUGACCUCGUUAGAUGGUCUGCUUGCAAGACUUCCAAGAAACAGCGCCACCUCCAUGAGUGAAUACAUAACCGCUCGUGGCCUUUAUCUCAUCAACAUCUGAGAUCCAGUUUGAGUUACUAUACCCUUCAAGCACCUUUGGAUGCCCAGUGUAGUGAAUUCCAUAAUUUGCAGUGCCUUUCAAAUAACGCAAAACUCUCUCUAGAGCUUUCCAAUGCACAUCUCCUGGUUUUGAGACAAACCGGCUUAGUUAGCUAACAGCAAAAGAGAUGUCAGGUCUCAUAGCACUGGCUAAGUACAUAAGCGAGCCAAUAAUCUGUGAAUAUUUCAAUUGGUCUCUAGCGAUUCUUCGAUUCUUUCGAAGCAACACACUAGCAUCAUAUGGUGUUGGAGAGGGCUUGCAGUCACUAUAGCCAAAGCGGCUCAAGAUCUUUUCCACAUAGUGAGAUUGAAGCAAUGUAAUCCCACCAUCAUCAUCUCUCAACAACUUGAUGUUCAGAAUGAGAUCAGCCACUCCUAAAUCCUUCAUCUCAAAACAGCAAGAUAGGAAAUCCUUGACCUCCUUAAGAACAUUCAGAUUUGUUCCGAAAAUCAGUAUGUCAUCAACAUACAAGCAAAGCAUAACUCCCUCGCCCCCACCAUGGCGAUAGUACACACAUUUGUCAGCUUCGUUCACAACAAAGCCUGCAGCUAUUAAAGUUCUUUCGAACUUCUCAUGCCACUGUUUGGGUGCUUGCUUGAGUCCAUACAAAGACUUCAGCAACUUGCACACUUUCCCUUCCUGGCCAUCUAUUACAAACCCCUCUGGUUGUUCCAUAUAAAUUUCCUCAUCCAAAUCUCCAUUUAGGAAAGCAGUCUUAACAUCCAUUUGAUGAACGAGAAGACCAUGUGAGGUAGCUAGUGAAAGUAGACCUCGAAUAGUGGUCAGUCGAGCCACAGGUGAGUAAGUAUCAAAGAAGUCUUCACCUUCCUUUUGGGUAUAACCCUUUUCCAUGAGCCAAGCCUUGUACUUUUCAUUAGUACCAUCAGGCCUAAGUUUCUUCUUGAAUACCCAUUUGCAUCCUAUAGGUUUGCACCCAUAAGGACGAUCAGUUAUCUCCCAAGUUUCAUUCGCCAAGAUGGAGUCCAUCUCGCUACGAAUCGCUUCCUUCCAGUAGUCAGCAUCUUCCGAUGCAUAGGCAUCCGAAAUAGAACUGGGAGUGUCAUCUAUGAGAUACACAAGAAAAUCAUCAGCAAAGGACUUUGCUGUCCUCUGUCUCUUGCUCCUAGUAGGAACUUCAUUGUUCUCCUCCGCAGGACUUUCAAAGUGUUCCAUCGAAAUGGCAGGUUCAGUAAUUGUAACUGGUUCCUGAUUCGAUGAACUAGGCAUCUCCUAAUUAGAUGAGGUAGCCAUAUCCUUCAUGGGAAUGAUAUCUUCAAAGAAAGUCGCAUCAUUCGACUCCAUGAUCGUACCGACAUGCAUGUCAGAUACCUCAGAUUUUACAACCAAGAAUCUAUAGCCAAUGCUGUGAAAAGCAUAUCCCAGGAAAACACAAUCAACAGUCUUUGGUCCAAGCUUCCGCUUCUUUGGAAUUGGAACAUUGACUUUCGCCAAGCAACCCCAUGUUCGCAGAUAAGAGAGUUUUAACCUUUUCUUCUCCCAUUCCUCGAAUGGAGUUAUCUCUUUGUUCUUUGUGGGGACUCGAUUUAGGACAUGACAUGCUGUCAAUAUCGCCUCCCCCCACCAUGCCUUGGAGAGACCCGAUGUGGCGUUAACCAAAUCAGUUAGAGUACGGUUCUUUCUUUCGGCCACCCCAUUUGACUGAGGUGAGUAGGGAUGCGUCCUCUCAUGGAUUAUACCUUGUUCUGCACAAAAAGCAUCAAAUUCAUUGGAAAAAUACUCUCCACCACGGUCAGACCUAAGCCUCUUGAUUUUUCGAUCAAGUUGGUUUUCCACUUCAGCUUUAUAGAUCUUGAAAAAGUUCAAAUCCUCAUCCUUACAUUUCAGAAGAUACACAUGGCAGUAUCUAGUGGAGUCGUUAAUUAACGUCAUGAAAUAUUUCUUUCCACGUUUUGUCAAAACACCAUUCAUUUCACAUAGAUCUGAAUGUAUAAGUUCUAGUGGUGCAAGAUUUCUCGUCUCCGCAGUCAUGUGAGACUUACGAGGUUGCUUAGCUUGCACACACACUUGACACUUAGAUCCCUUGACAGUGGUGAAACUAGGGAUUAAGUUCAACUUCGCUAGCCGCGACAUGCAACCAAAGUUAACAUGACAAAGACGUGAAUGCCACACAUUUGAUUCACUAUUGUUGCAAAUAUGAUUAACAACUUUAUUGCAAAUGUCUGAUAAGGAUAAACGAAACAGGCUUCCUGACUCAUAGCCUUUGCCAACAAAAGUUCCAUACUGGGAUAUUACAAAUUUAUUCGACUCAAAUACAAGCUUAUAGCCAUCUCUACACAGAAGAGAUCCGCUAACAAGAUUGUUAUUGACGGAGGGGACAUAAUGCACGUUCUUCAGCCGCACGAUCUUCCCCGAAGUAAACUUCAGAUCGACCAUGCCAACACCACGAACAGAAGCACUUGAACCGUUGCCCAUCAGCACGGUUGAAGUCCCUGCGGUCUGAUCAGAUGAAAACAUGGAAAUAUCACUGCAUACAUGCACAUUAGCACCCAUGUCAAUCAACCAAUCAGGAGAAUGACAUACUGAAAGAAUAGUGGGAAAUAUACCAUACCCAGCAUCUUUCAUGUCAAUGUCUCCGAUGACAACAUUAGCGGUCUUGCCGCCUUUCCCAGGAUGACGCUUGUCAUAGAGAUUAGGACAAAUAGGAGCCCAAUGAUCAGGCUCUCCACACACAUGACAAGCACCUUUCUUCUUGUCAUUCUUCUUCUUGAAGUUCGUGUGCUGCACAGCCUUGUUCUUCCCAUCGAACUUUGCUUUACCAUCAAACUUGCCCUUGUUCUAGAACUUGUGGGACUGGAAGUUCUUCUUCUGUACUAGAUUGGCACUAGAUCCUCCCUCAAUACCUCGAGCACGUGUGUCCUUUGCUCUCGCCUUUUCUUCCACAUCAAGAGUACCAAUGAGUUCCGGGACGGAAAACUCCUGUCUCUUAUGCUUCAGUAAGGUAGCAAAGUUCCUCCACGAAGGAGGAAGCUUAGUGAUGAUACCCCCGGCAACAAACUUGUCCGGUAAGAUACAAUUGAAGUGCUCAAGUUCUCUAGCAAAGGACUGUAUCUCAUGAUCCUGCUCAACCACGGAGCGCUCUUCAGUCAUCAUGUAAUCAUAGAAUUGCUCCAUGAUGUACAAUUCAGUGCCGGCAUCCGAGACCCCAAACUUGGCCUCAAGUGCGUCCCACAUAUCUUUUCUAUUGUCAAUUGACGCAUAAGCAUCAACUAUGUUCUCACCAAGAACACUCAAAAGAGCAGCCUUAAACAAGGUAUCCAUUUUCAGAAAAGCUUGUGCCUGUUGGGCAUCUUGCUCUCCUUCAGGUUUGCCAAGAGUGGCGUCAUAGCAACUCAUGGUUUGAAACCAUAAGACUGCUCUCACGCGCCACCUCUUAUAGUGGAUACCCUCAAACAUACGAGCUCUCAUGGAAGCAGCAAAACCACUCGGGGUAAAUUGCCUAUAAUAAGGUUUUUGGAUUGUUGGAAAUAUGAGCAAUUUACCGAAUGAUUUUAUUAACAAAAAUACUAGAUAAAGCAUGACUAAAAUAGCAAAUAUAAAACAAGUCAUGCAGUCUGACAGAGAGAAGGUAAACAUCGUCUGCAUAUAUGAACUUGAGCUAAACACAUCUAGAACAUACACUAGAUGAAGUUGCUUAUACGAAACAGAACCUAACAUACGUAGGGCAGAAACUAGAGCCAAGAACUGUAGCAGGACUUCUAACAGAAAGGAGAAGAACACGUACGGCAUAGCAGCAGCAGAAGCGCUGGACUUCGGGUCGGUGUCCUCGCCUGCCAUGUCGUCGAGGAGGUCGUGGACGUCGGGGAAGAAGUCGUCGUCGGGGAAGUAGUCGUCGGCGACCGGAUCGUCCGUGAUGAAGCAGCCAGUAGUCGCGCUGAGCGCUCCCCAAAAACCUUAUCACCCUUCUCCCGUACAGGACUCAAAAGGUGCGGUCUCGGAGGCCUACUAUCCCGACGUGCGGUGCACGCCGCAAGUCGGGAUGAGGAAGACAGCAGCAGCUCAGAGAUGGAACCGAUGGCGAGGGAAGGAGCAGUUCUGGUGCGUCUCUCUGAGAGGAGCGACCUCCCUUUUAUAGGCGCAAGAGAAGGAGGCGAGAGGCUGCGCCGGGAGCUGAAGGGAAUGCGGGAGACGAAACGAACAUGCAGCAGCCGAAGGGGCGCGCCUUCGGAUUCAGUGUCCAGGCACAGAAAAAAAUGUUUCAGCUUCCGAGUGACCUUUCGUAUACCCGUAGUGCGUGGCAAAAAUUUAGACAUCGGCUCGGCUCAUUCCCGCAACCCGCGGCGCGGCAUGACGAGGCGUGGUGAGGCGGGCGGCGGAGGAGGAGCGCGCGUGGAUGUCCCUCUUGUUCUCAUGCUCAUACAAGUGGAGAAGGAGCCUCCCUUAUAAAGAGGUCCAACUCCCUCUAAACUAGCAAGGUGGGACUAAACUUUAGUUCCACCUCUUGCCUUGCACGAAUGGGCUGCGUGGUCCUCUAGGAUUUAUUAGGAAUUUCUGAAACUGCUAUUGUGCUAGGCCCAAAUAGACAAAAAUUCCAGCAGUUUGUGUUCUUCAGGUCUCCACUUGCCAUGAUAUUGCGGCUGGGCUUCGGGUAUGUGUUACCACUGAUACAUCAUUCCAAACUACUAAUGAAUUGGUCUCUGAUGUCUUCUUCUCAAUUUUAACUAGGGCCUGCUUCUGUUUGCACCAAUUCGAGAUAGUGGUUGUGGAAUGCAGCAGCCAAGACAACAAGGUCAGGCUCGGCUUAGGUAUGAUGACAAACAAAAUUAGAUUCGGAUGGUUCCUUACAUCUUCCUCUCAGAAUCAAGAGUGAUAAUACUUUUUUGGUGCUCCGGCUUCUGCAGUUUCUGAAGAACUGAUUCGUUGUUCAGGCAUUUCAUGCAUUUGGAGUUCACAGGUAUCUAAGUUUCUCUGACUGUGUUUUCAAAUAAUUGAUACUUGACAUUAGGAUUUUUGGCUGAACAAAUCAUCUUAGACAUAAGUAGAACCCGGCAAAUUGUGAGACAGAGCUAAUUGAUACACAGUUUAGAAAAUAGAACUGAACAAUUCUUGGUAGUCACUAUUGAUUAGCUAUGUGCGUACCUUAAGUUCCUUACUACUUAUUUUAAUUGUUAGUACUUGAAGGUUUGAAUAAUUAUUAUUACCAAGUUACAUGUUGAUCACUACUUAUUAUGAAAAUGUAUGUCCAUGGUUUAAAGGAGCUUUAUUGUUUCAGUCUAUACUAAGUUAUUUGUCGGUUAUACUGGAGCUUAUAUUGUUCCCUCUUUGAUCUAGACAUCAAAUAUUCUAAGCUUCAUUUUUGUGAGCAAACGGUUCUAUGCUUCCUUUUUGUGAACAUUGCUCCAUAAAUAGUAGUGGCAUUUACUAUGCAGAUGAUACUGACAAAUUAUCAUACAAGUCCGCAUUAAUAUUCAGUCAGUAGGUUAUUGAAGAAGGCCGGAGAUCGCGUGGAGCACCAACAAUAACCUCAAGUAGAUGCAGCAGAGACAUGUGAUGAACUAUCAUAUGUUUCCUAAUCUGAAUGUUUGCUCCAAUCGCUUGAUUGUUUGAUCUGGUUUGUUGUGACAAUACAAUGAUUUUCUAUGUUCUUUUUGUGGUGCAAUCUCCGUUGAUUUGGAAAGAUGGGGACUUUCUGUUGAGCUAUUUCGAUCGGCCAUUGGCCAUAACAUUCCAAAUUCCUUAUUUUGUUUCCUCUUUUUCGCGGCUUCAUUUUACGUGUCUCACUAAAGGUGGGCAUGACUUGAAAAGGGAGGCAAACAAAACUGCCAAGAUGCAUCUCUUUUGCAGCAGAAGAAGAGGCACUGAUGAGAGGUGGAAAAGGAGGGGCAAAGAAGGAAGCCAUGGGCAUGUGCCGCCUACCGACCAUGAAUAUCAACAAUGACAAUGACGACUAGCUUGUGUGCGUGUGAGAGAGGGAGGGAGAGGGAGUCAAAACAAAAUGAUGUAUAUCUUUACUACAUUAUAAAAUGGGAUUUGGUGAGCUAUUUGUCCUUUAUGAUUCAUGAGAUUUUAAUUCUAUAGUGUUUUUUGCUCUUAAUAUAUUAUUGUGGUUAUAGAUUUAUCAUUGACACAAUAUAUGUAGAAACUUUUUUGAUCUAAAUAAGAAGAACAAAAGUUUACGGGAUGCUUUUUGAUCGUUCCCUUUACCUAGCUUCCAAUUUCUAUUGUCAGAAACACAUUUUUUUUGUUCCUAUAGGAAACAUAUGCAAAUAAAAGAUUUGCCGAAGCUUUUUGAGUCCCUGAUGCAUACUAAAUACAGUCCUAGAACAAUAUGCUUAUGCAUAAUAACAAGCUGGAAAAUUGCUCCAAAAUAACACUUAAAACAUAUAAAAGAACAAAAAAAUCCAUUCUGAAUUCUAAAAUGAUCUUUCAAUGUAUGCAGCAAACUGCUUCCUUUAUAAUCUGACAAAACUCGCAGGACUUAUCAUGACGCAUGAAAGGAUAUAGUAAACCAUCACACCGAAGCCGAGGUUGGCUUUGUUUCCUUAUUUUUGCGAGAAGGUGUCAUAGUUCUACUAUUUUGAUUAGCCAUCUAGAGGGAUGACAGUGCAUGCAAUCAUUUAAAUAAAAUAAUACAAAGAUGCUGCAUGAGUCAUCAAUUCAAACAAGAACUUGUUUCAUGUGAUUUUUUGUGUAAAGUGGAAACAAAUUAUUUUUAUAACAACUAAUUCGACAACACAAGUGCUACACCGUGAUCAGUAUAUGCAUAUGAUACGAUCUAGCUAUUUUCCUUUGCACGGGUGGUUUUUAUCAUGAGGUAGGAGGGUUCGUACAAGUCGACUAUCAGCUCUCAUGCAAUGCUUUAAAAAGAAAAACGAGAGGAAUUUGUGAAUUUUUGUAUAACAUUGCAAAUUAUAUGAAAAAACUUUUUAAUUUGUCAGAACUUUUAGGAGGGAGUGAGUGGCAAAUGUUGGAAGACAUUCAAAGUUAGGAUGAUGGGAAUGCCUAUGGCAAUUUGGAGAACUUGGAGAAAACAUAUGCGAACUUGAGCUAGGUAGCAAUGUAGAGCUUAAUUAAGCUAAAUGGUUCAUAUUCAUUUGUUAGUCCAUGAGUUCGAGAUGAUGGACUCAACAAUUGGAUAGAUUUGGAGGGAACACGAAUUUGGAGUAGUGUGACAACAUAGCGAAGUAAUGACACAAUGGUCGAAGGGCUGAAGUUGAGGGGCUUGUGAUAGAUCCAUUUGUUGGCCCGUGGCUGCGCACGGGCGUUCUACUAGUAAUCAUUGGUGGCUUCUUUGACCACCAGACGGCUUAUUGACUUCUUCCACUCGAGGAUCACCGUGGAGCAAUCCUUCUUCCCCUUCCUACAGAAGCACGCCAACCACAAACAAAUGCUCAAAAAGACCUUAGCAAAUGCCAUUGAACUAGAUUGUAGGCAAGAGGAAUCUUAUUAGUUGGUAGAUGUAGAUGUCGAGGCCUCAUCAUUGCUUGCCAGAGGCCUCAUGUGUAUGUCGUGCGUCCCACCAGAGGCCUCUUUUAAUUAGAGGAAGGGCGGUGCGGAGAAGACAUCAUUAGUCACCCUGGGAGAAGAAAGUUCGGUGGCGGUGCGUGUAAAGAGGAGACUUUGGUAGUUUCUGGUGGAGUUGUGGUAGCCGUAGGGACGACGAGAGUGAGAGAGGACUGGGGACGGAGGAGAGGUGAUGGAUGGAAAAAAAUUGGGUGAUUGAGGACGAAAACCAAGAUGAAAANNNNNNNNNNNNNNNNNNNNNNNNNNNNNNNNNNNNNNNNNNNNNNNNNNNNNNNNNNNNNNNNNNNNNNNNNNNNNNNNNNNNNNNNNNNNNNNNNNNNNNNNNNNNNNNNNNNNNNNNNNNNNNNNNNNNNNNNNNNNNNNNNNNNNNNNNNNNNNNNNNNNNNNNNNNNNNNNNNNNNNNNNNNNNNNNNNNNNNNNNNNNNNNNNNNNNNNNNNACUAGAUGUCUCUGUAGUGAAGUAAUAUGAGCAUAACUUAAUUGAUCAGUGUAAAACUUUGAAUUGGUUAAGUAUACUACACUAAAGUAAGUUGUAAAGCCUAAUUGCAAUUAUAUCUUUGAGGGCAAUGCUUAUGAGUUGCGUGACAAUCUUGUCUGUUCUGGAUCUUGCAUCUGAUUCUAAUUAAACAGUACAUGUUAGAUGUUUUUAAUGAGGUCCACGUUAGAUUUGAUUGUUAAUUUAUAGUGCGGGUGAAAGCGGAUUCUAUCCUUUUCGUCUGCCAUUUUUCCUUUCAUAAAAUGUGUCCAUGGAGUAAUUCUCCACAAAAACAAACUUAACUGGACAAAAUAUCCACGGCAAGUCGCAUAUCUUGUGCAACUGUUCACUGUUGAAAGCUUAUUGUGCCACUACCCAUCAUUGCAAGGAAAAAAUACAGAAGAUUUAUGUUCUACCAAAUACAUUCUUUUGUUCAGAUUUAGCCAGGUAUGAUCCUGGUUGCGUCAGCCAUUAGAGUACAUUGCGAUCGACUAGACAGUUUCAGUGCUCAUCUUGCCUACUUUUGCAGCACUAGAUUUGCGAUCAGGUAGAUAAACACAACAACAAAGGAGACGACAGAUGCCAGCGGCCCAUAUUUCCCAAGAAUUCUCUGUGGGUUAAUUCCAUAAUACGGAUUGAAUUCUCUACUGGCACGGAAUCCAGCAACAAGGGCCACACCAUGCUGACACUAGCAGCUAUGUGUUGCUCCCGUGGGCAAGACCUGCCCAAGGAGGAUAGGUAAGAGAAAUGGCUGAAGACACACCAACACCUGGCAACAUGUAGGUUCAUAUUUCACCCCCACCCUUGGAUAAAACCGUGAAUCAUUUGAAACAUAUUAAAACUUGAGUGCAUUUUUUAUUUUGGAGAAAUAUAUAUGCUCACAAGAGCUUAGGAGUCACACGUCGGUUCUAGGUAAUUAAACAAACAAGAACAUUCACUUGUUGAGAAAUUUUACCACCUCUUCUUGCUUCUUUUAUGACACUAGAACUUGACGGGCUUUGGGUCACCUCCUUUUCGGUUUAUAAGGCUUGCGCGUAUCUCUAGGUUGACAAAUAGACCAACUUAAUACAAGUUGUAUAUCACAAAAAAUAUAUAAUUAGGAACUUCAAAUCGUAUACUUUCUAAUGGUAUAAUUUUUAGACUAUACAACUCAUGUUAUGUUGGUCAAGUUAUAGAUCCAGGGAUAUGUACAAGCCUUAUAAACCGGAAAGGAGGUAUGUUAGUAGAUAAACAUGCCAAUUAAGGACUUCUUGACAAGUCUAUGCAGAUUAAAGGUAUGUUAGUAGAUGGUGUAAUAAAUACAUGCUUUUAGCUAUCUAAGGAUACAAAUAUGCCACUAUUUACUUUGUAAAUGCUCGAAAUCAUUCUCAGAAAUUUUAGUAACAACAGUUGUCAUGAACAACUUGGACUAAAUGCAUCAAAUGUUACAAAUAAUACAUAAAAACAUUCAAAUGUACUUAGAGUGAAUCAAUUAAGACGUGUAAAGCUAGUACUAAUCCAAUAUUUCUUAAUGACUUGCAUAUACUUACAACACUUGACGUAAAGAGUGAAUCAAUUAAGACGUGCAAAGCCAGUACUAAUCCAAUUUUAUUAAUAGCUUCCACAAAAUUACAACACGUGGCGUAAAAAGGGAAUAUGAUGAGUCAUGUAUUGAUAACGUGUACAACAUUACUACCCUUGACAUAAAAAGAGAAGUUGAUGAGUCAUGUCUUAAUAACGUGUACAACAUUACUAUCAGCUUGUUCAUCUUACCAUCAUACUAUACAACACUAUAAGUUAGUUUAAAAAAGAAUAAGAGUCCAGAACAAACAUCACAAUACUAGCCUGAUCUAUAUUAACAACAUGCACAAGGACACAAAUUUAGUUCCCCGCAAGCUAUGAAGAUUUGGUUUAUGUCUAACAACUUGUACAAUAUGACAAACUUAGAUCCAAAAGGAAUGCAAACCAGAUAAUUGUAAUGCAAUCCAGAUAAUUAUUUGACAUGCAAAGUGAAUAAGAUGAGUCACUACCAAUUAUCAAGUUUUCCUCACUCUUAGAUGAUAUGAACCAUAAAAAGGCAACUUUGAUGAUCACUCCAUAAUUACGUUUGUAUGUAGUGCCACCAAACACAACACACAAAAUAAUUAGUUCGAUAAGCAUCGAAUCACUUUAAAAAGGAAAGCAAAAAUGGAAAGAAACCUAACCAUGGGAGCUAUAAAAAGGCCUGCAAUAUGUAGACUCCAUACCAUCAUCCAUCCUUCACACAACUAGAGCACAAGUAUCAAAUCCAAGUACGUAGUGGUUAACGCAAAUUAACCAUGAAGACCUUACUCAUCCUAACAAUCCUUGUGAUGGCAGUAACCAUCGGCACCGCCAAUAUGCAGGUCGACCCUAGCGGCCAAGUACAAUGGCCACAACAACAACCAGUCCUGCUGCCUCAGCAACCAUUCUCCCAGCAACCACAACAAACAUUUCCCCAACCCCAACAAACAUUCCCCCAUCAACCACAACAACAAUUUCCCCAGCCUCAACAACCACAACAACAAUUUCUCCAGCCACAACAACCAUUCCCCCAACAACCACAACAACCAUAUCCCCAGCAACCACAACAACCAUUCCCCCAGACUCAACAACCCCAACAACUAUUUCCCCAGUCCCAGCAACCACAACAACCAUAUCCCCAGCAACCACAACAACCAUUCCCCCAGACUCAACAACCCCAACAACAAUUUCCCCAAUCCCAGCAACCACAAUAACCAUUUCCCCAACCCCAACAACCGCAACAAUCAUUCCCCCAGCAACAACCAUCGUUCAUUCAGCCAUCUCUACAACAACAGCUGAACCCAUGCAAGAAUUUACUCUUGCAGCAAUGCAGACCUGUGUCAUUGGUCUCAUCCCUCUGGUCAAUGAUCUGGCCACAAAGCGCUUGCCAAGUGAUGAGGCAACAAUGCUGCCAACAACUAGCACAGAUUCCUCAGCAGCUCCAGUGUGCAGCCAUCCAUAGCGUCGUGCAUUCCAUCAGCAUGUAGCAAGAACAACAACAACAACAACAACAACAACAACAACAACAACAACAACAACAACAACAACAACAACAACAACAACAACAACAACAACAACAACAACAAGGCAUGCGUAUCCUGCUGCCACUAUAUCAGCAACAACAGGUGGGUCAAGGUACUCUCGUCCAGGGCCAGGGCAUCAUCCAACCCCAACAACCAGCUCAAUUGGAGGCGAUCAGGUCAUUGGUGUUGCAAACUCUUCCAACCAUGUGCAACGUGUAUGUCCCACCUGAGUGCUCUAUCAUCAAGGCACCAUUUGCCAGCAUAGUCACCGGAAUUGGUGGCCAAUGAAAAACGCAAGAGCCAUACUAAUAGGUAGAUGGAUCAUCGUUGCUUAGCUGAUUUACCAAUCGAUGUAACGAUGCCAAAUAAACUGGUGUGCACCAUCAUGUGUCAUCCUGACCAGUGCUAGUUCAAGAUUGGGAAUAAAAGAGAAGAACGUUCAUGUUUGCCAACAUUGCUUGUCAUUGUUCCAUUCACUGUGUAUUUAUAUUUUCAUCCUGAACUGCAAUUCUAGUCUUACACAUCAAUAGCUAGUUGCUCAUGUCGGCAGGUUCCUAUGUAAUCUAAUGAUUAAUGGUCGACCUAUUAAUCUAGUUUAUCGGCCGAUUGAUCUAUUAAUUGGUGCUCCCAAGCCGACCGAGCAGCCAUCAGUUACCGAUUUCCUGAACAUUGCACACAAUAAUAAUUCAACGUAUUUCAAUGUCUAGAAGUAAAAGGGCCAUAUAAGCAGUAAAACAAGCGCCUGAUUAGAAACCAUCCAUCACUUUAAAUUAAUCUAGAUAUUUUUGUGUUGGUGCAAUUUUGAGUUGAUGGCACCGACACAUUCUUGAAAGAAAUUCUACAGGGAACUCCAAAGAGGUGAAAAUCAAACUAAAGUUGCCACAUGGUAAAAGAUAAAUCAUGCGGCAAGCAAGAGGAAAUAUUGAGUCACAAUAGCUAGCGCCAAACAUGUAAUUAAACUAUUCUUAUGGUUUCUUGCAAAGAGGGAAGUAAUUUACAGAUGACAAACAAAACGUAAUUAGCAUUAGUUCUAAUUGAUUGUAGAAAUUUCUUUUAUCGGUAGAAUAACUCAGUUGUUAUUUAUUUAAACAUGCACUGUGAUAUUGACUUAUCUCAAUCUAGGAACACAAAGCAAAUACUACAUUUGCUGCUAUGGACUCCAAACAGAUGAGAAAUCAUUAUGUGUAGAAGUUCCUUAGAAGGAUAUUUUGGCCUAAACAAAUUUAACAUUGUACUCGUGUCUUACAUAGUUAAAGCUGAAAAAUCAACAUAACCAGUGGACACUUUGUAAGACAAGUGUGGGAAACAAAUAGUAGGAUAUAAAUUUGAGUAGAAUGUUUGCUCAAAUGUUGAAAAAAUAACCCAGCAAACUAAAACUCAGCAAAACAGUCUAUUCUACCUUAUACGGACUGUCACAAUGAUAAUGCUAUGUUUUUUUGGAAUACAAAUUCAAAAAAAAUCAGCCACAGAUCCCUGAGCCCAUCCAACAGGAGAGCUUCAAUUGAAAGAAGUAUUAGUUCGAUUAGACCAUGUAGUACCUAAAGGAGGAUGGUGGCCCCAUGGAACAACUCCAGCCUUUCCAUUGUGUCCGGGCGCAAUGCGAUAAUGGAGUUAUGGUCAUUGGUGGCUUCGCUGGCCAUAGACGGCUUAUUGACUUCUUCCACUUGAGGAUCACCGUGAACCAGUCCUUCUUCCCCAUCCUACAUAAGCAUGCCAACCACAAAUAAAUGCUCAAAAAGACCAUCUUAAAUGUCAUUGAACCGGAUUAUGGGAGGCAGAAUCUUAUGACUCGGUGGAUGCAGAUAUCGAGGCCUCAUUUGUAUGUUGUGCCUCCCACCAGAGGUGUCUUCUAAUUAGAGUGGUGCGAGAAGACAAUAUAAGCCACCGUGCAAGCGAAACAAUUAGGAGGCACUGCUUGUAAAGCGGAGAAUUUGGCACUGUCUGGUGGCAUUGCGGUAGCCGCAGGGUGGAAGAGAGAGAGGGAGGGAGGGAGGGAGGAUGAAUCGGAAAACCAGGAGCAGGGGUGAUCAACGAUGAAAACCAAGAUGAAAAAACAAUGUGCAAGAGAGGAAGAGGAAUAGGCUAGCUAUUUCUGUAGUGAAGUAAUAUGAGCAUAACUUAACCCAUAGGUGUGGAACUUGGAUUCGGUUGAAGUAUAUACUAUACUAAAGUAAGCUGACUAAUUGCAAUUUAAAUCUUUGGUGGCAAUGCUUAUGAGUUGUGAGGCCAUCUUGACUAUUCUGGAUCUUGCAUAUGAUUCUAAUUAAACAGUAUAUGUCAGAUGUUUUUAAAGAGGCACACAUUAUAUUUGAUUGUUGAUUUACACAUUCUAAUUAAACAUUAUAUGUCAGAUGUUUCUAAUGAGGCCCACGUUAGAUUUGUAUGUUGAUUUACAAAGGGAUUGAUAAGUUGAUUCUAUCCUUUUUCCUCUGCCAUUCUUCCUUUCAUAAAAUGUGUCCAUCGAGUAAUUAUCCACAAUAACAAACAUGACUAGACAAAAUAUCCACGACAAGUUGCAUAUCUUGUGCAACUGUUCACUGGUGAAAGGCUAUUGUGCCACUAUCCAUCAUUGCAAGGAAAAAACACAAAAGAUUUAUGUUCUAUCAAAUAUAUUAUUUUGUUUGGAUUUAGCCAGGUAAGAUCCUGGUUGCGUCGGCCAUUAGAGUACCUUGCGAUCGACUAGACAGUUUCAGCAUAUCUUCUUGCCUCCUUUUGCAUCACUAGAUUUCGAUGGGCUUGCGAACAGGAAGAUAAACACGGCAACAAAGGAGACGAGAGAUGCCAGUGAUCCAUAUUUCCAAAUAAUUCUCUGCAAGUGAAUUCCAAAGAAUGCAUUGAAUUUUGUGCUGGCGUAGAAUCCAGCAGCAAGGGAAACACCAUGCUGACGCUAGGAGCUACGUGCUGCUACCGCGAGCUCCCAUGGCAAGACCUGCCCAGGGAGGACCGGCAAGAGAAACGGCUGAAGACACACCAAGACCCGGCAACAUGUAGGUUCAUAUUUCACCCCCACCCUCAGAUAAAAAUGUGAAUCAUUUCAAACAUAUUAAAACUUGAGUGGAUUUUUUUAUUUCGGAAAAAUAUGCCCACAAGAGCUCAGGAGUCAACGUCAGUUCUAGGUAAUUAAACAAACAAGAAGAUUGACUUGUUGAGCAAUUUUACUACAUUUUCUUGCUUCCUUUUACGACACUAGAACUUGAUGGACUUCCGGUCAGCUAGAUAAACAUGCCAAUAAAGGACUUCUUGACAAGUCUGUGCAGAUUAAAGGUAUGUUAGUAGGUGGUGUAAUAACACAUGAUUUUAGCUAUCUAAGGAUACAAAUAUGCCACUAUUUAUUUUGUAAAUGCUGGAAAUCAUUGUCGGAAAUCUUAGUAACAACAGUUGUCAUGAACAACUUCGACUAAAUGCAUCAAAUGUUAGGAAUAAUACAUACUAACUUAGUUCAAUAAAUUAACCUAUUGAAGCAAGAAAAGAAACCUUGAAAUGUACUUAGAGUGAAUCAAUUAAGACAUGCAAAGCCAGUACUAAUCCAGUUUUAUUAAUAACUUCCACAAAAUUACAACACGUGACGUAAAAAGGGAAUAUGAUAGGUCAUGUAUUGAUAACGUGUACAACAUUACUACCCUUGACAUAAAAAGAGAAGUUGAUGAGUCAUGUCUCAAUAACGUGUACAACAUUACUAUCAGCUUGUUCAUCUUACCAUCAUACUAUACAACACUACGAGUUAGUUUAAAAAGGAAUAAGAGUUCAGAAUGAACAUGACAGUACUAGCCUAAUCUAUCUUAACAACAUGCACAAGGACACAAAGUUUGUCUGCCACAAGAUAUGAAGAUUUGGUUUAUGUCUAACAACUUGUAUAACAUGACAAACUUAGAUCCAAAGGGAACACAAUCCAUAUAAUUGUUUGACAUGUAAAGUGAAUAAGAUGAGUCAGUGCCAAUUAUCAAGUUUUCCUCACUCUUAGAUAAUAUGAGUAGCAAAAAGGCAACUUUGAUGAUCACUCCAAAAUUACGAUUGUAUGCCGUGCCACCAAACACAACACACCAAAAAAUUAGUUCGAUAAGCAUUGAAUCACUUUAAAAAAGGAAAGCAGUGAUGAAAAGAAACCUAGCCAUGGUGGCUAUAAAAAGGCCUGCAAUAUGUGAGCUCCAUACCAUCAUCCAUCCUUCACACAACUAGAGCACAAGCAUCAAAUCCAAGUAGGUAGUAGUUAACGCAAAUCCACCAUGAAGACCUUACUCAUCCUGACAAUCCUUGCGAUGGCAAUAACCAUCGCCACCGCCAAUAUGCAGGCCGACCCUAGCGGCCAAGUACAAUGGCCGCAACAACAACCAUUCCUGCAGCCUCACCAACCAUUCUCCCAGCAACCACAACAAAUAUUUCCCCAACCCCAACAAACAUUCCCCCAUCAACCACAACAACAAUUUCCCCAGCCUCAGCAACCACAACAACAAUUUCUCCAGCCCCGACAACCAUUCCCCCAACAACCACAACAACCAUAUCCCCAGCAACCACAACAACCGUUCCCCCAGACUCAACAACCCCAACAACCAUUUCCCCAGUCCAAGCAACCACAACAACCUUUUCCCCAGCCCCAACAACCGCAACAAUCAUUCCCCCAACAACAACCAUCGUUGAUUCAACAAUCUCUACAACAACAGUUGAACCCAUGCAAGAAUUUCCUCUUGCAGCAAUGCAAACCUGUGUCCUUGGUGUCAUCCCUCUGGUCAAUCAUCUUGCCACCAAGCGAUUGCCAGGUGAUGCGGCAACAAUGUUGUCAACAACUAGCACAAAUUCCUCAGCAACUCCAGUGUGCAGCCAUCCAUAGCGUCGUGCAUUCCAUCAUCAUGCAGCAAGAACAACAAGAACAACUACAGGGUGUGCAAAUCCUGGUGCCACUGUCUCAACAGCAACAGGUGGGUCAAGGUAUUCUCGUCCAGGGUCAAGGCAUCAUCCAACCUCAACAACCAGCUCAAUUGGAGGUGAUCAGGUCAUUGGUGUUGCAAACUCUUCCAACCAUGUGCAACGUGUAUGUCCCACCUUACUGCUCCACCAUCAGGGCACCAUUUGCUAGCAUAGUCGCCAGCAUUGGUGGCCAAUGAAAAAAAACAAGAGCUAUUCUAAAAGUUAGAU